GGAGGUGAUGUGUCUUCUCCUUCACCGUUGAGCUUGCUCUGCGGCCUCGCUUCGCUGCUCGUCUUGCUGUGGGCGGUCUCCCGGGCCGCUGAGACAUGCUGGCUGAGGCCACGGCGGCUCAGCCGGGCGCUCCGGGCGCAGGGCCUCGGCGGCACGGCGUACCGAUUUCCCGCCGGGGACCUCGCAGAGAACGGACGGCUCAACGAGGAGGCUCGGGUCCAAGCCCAUGCCGCCGUGCCACGACAUUGUGCCCCGUGUGGCGCCGCACCUCCUCCAACACCAUCAAGGACACGGUAGGGUAAUUUUGUUGUUCCUCUAGUUGUAANNNNNNNNNNNNNNNNNNNNNNNNNNNNNNNNNNNNNNNNNNNNNNNNNNNNNNNNNNNNNNNNNNNNNNNNNNNNNNNNNNNNNNNNNNNNNNNNNNNNAGUCCUUACGGGGAAAUGCCCCUUUGUGAUUCCAUCGAGCAAUGGUAGUUCGCUACUGCUCCGGACACAUUGGUUGACCGGCAUGUGUCCUUCUUAGCUGUUGUGUCUGUCCCUUUGGGAAAUGUCACGCGUAUGUAAUGGAGUCCUUGUAGCGUGCUAUGACUCGUCUACAUUCUUAUUGAAUUGUGGUUUAUUUUACUCGCUUGCAUUAGUUGACUAUUUAACAAAUGAAGAAUUUAUAACAUAUGACGAACGCGCAUGGAUUUAUGAAAGUUUAGGAUGAUGGUGGGGGGGUACGGGUCGUCCCGUGAUGUGUGGGUACACGCCCGCAGUAAGGGACUGCUUUUGCCGAGUCCAAUUGUAAAUGAUGUUAAAAUAAGAAUGUAUCCUCCCCCUCCGAGUUGUUGUCGGUUUCACCAAGUGAGUUGGUGUUGGAGUGUGUGCAUCAUAAUUAUGUAGACACCAGGCAUGCACUCRCAUGCGGAUCAAGGCACACAGGGGGAUANNNNNNNNNNNNNNNNNNNNNNNNNNNNNNNNNNNNNNNNNNNNNNNNNNNNNNNNNNNNNNNNNNNNNNNNNNNNNNNNNNNNNNNNNNNNNNNNNNNNCACUGUCGUCCUCUCCUCCUCCUCCUUCUCCUUCUUCUCAUAUUCUUCUUUCUUCUUUCUUUUUCAUUUUUUCCAUUUUUUUUCUCCUUUUUGUUUGGAGCUAAAUUACGUAAUUAUGCUYWYUGKMGCUAAAUGGGCUAAUUAUUCCAUUUUAGAGGAAAACAAGCUAAGUAUAUAAUAUUCAUGAGCUAACCAAGGUUCUUAUGCCAUUUUGAGGUUAUUAUGGCAUUUUGGAGCUAAAUGGGCUAAUUAUGUUAUUGUUGGGGAAAUUAAAGCAAGGAUAAUAUGAAAGAGGAGAAGAAAGAGGAGGAGUAGGAGAAGAAGAAGAAAUAAAGAAGAAGGAGGAGAAGGAGGAUGAGAAGGACUAGAAGGUCCUUGGCCUUCUCGUCCUUCUCCUCCUCCUCCUCCUCCUUCUCCUCCUCCUCCUCCUCCUCCUUCUCCUUCUUCUCUUCUUCUUCUUCUUCUUCUUCUUCUUCUUUCUUUUAAGUUUUCCUAUUUCUUCUUCCUUUUGUUGGAGCUAAAUUACCUAAUUAUGUCUUCUUGGAGCUAAAUGCGCUAAUUAUCCCAUUUUAGAGGAAAACAAGCUAAGUAUAUAAUAUUCAUGAGCUAACCAAGGUUCUUAUGCCAUUUUGAGGUUAUUAUGGCCUUUUGGAGCUAAUGGGCUAAUUAUGUCAUUGUUGGGGAAAUUAAAGCAAGGAUAAUAUUAAAGAGGAGAAGAAAGAGGAGGAGGAGGAGGAGAAGAAGAAAUCAAGAAAAGGAGGAGAAGGAGGAGGAGGAGGAGGAGCRAGGAGGAGAAGGUWGGCSUCCUCCUCCUCSWCASUSCUCUCUCUCUCUCUUCUUCUUCUUCUUCUUCUUCUNNNNNNNNNNNNNNNNNNNNNNNNNNNNNNNNNNNNNNNNNNNNNNNNNNNNNNNNNNNNNNNNNNNNNNNNNNNNNNNNNNNNNNNNNNNNNNNNNNNNAUAUGAUAUUCGGAUGAUACUAGUUAGAUCGAGAUAUUGAACAAUUAAGCAUAGCCAAAGAAGAAUGCAUCUUACGAGAUAUGAAGAAGAUUUUCUUUAUUAAUGUUUGUUCAUCCCUAUUCAUUGCACUCAACCAUAUCUUGGUUAUGCUAUUAUAACUAGAUCUUCUUGUGACAGUUUGUUGAAUACACAAUAAACCUUUGGAGUACGUUCUUAUAUUGGAUAUGCGUCGUUACAACUCCCUAUCAAUUAAUAUCGAUCCUCAUGACUAUAUUAUUCUAGGUUAAGACCGCGAACCCUUAGAUUUGAACAACCAUUACUAGAAUUGAACACCCAUUCGUAAGGUUUGCAACACUGAUAAGCCUAUAGGUCCACAUGCUUCUUAGUAAGUUCCCGUUAUACAACCUAGAUUGUUUGUCGUGCUCCGAAAAGUUAGGUUUUUAACAUCCAAUUUCUACCAAAACCCCAUUGUAUCACCUCAUGUGCAUGUUUCUAUUAACCGUAAUACUAUUUAAUACUANNNNNNNNNNNNNNNNNNNNNNNNNNNNNNNNNNNNNNNNNNNNNNNNNNNNNNNNNNNNNNNNNNNNNNNNNNNNNNNNNNNNNNNNNNNNNNNNNNNNGUCAUCAUAUAAACUCCUUGAACCCAACAGAUGGACUUCAAGAACUGCCUAUGGACAGAUCCUAUAAAUAUAACUUAAGGCAACCAUUAGUCCAUAGGAAUUGUCAUCAAUUACCAAAACCACAUAUGGAGAUAUAUGCUCUAACAAAGAUGAAUGGAGAUAUUCUAACUUUCGCUGGACUCGAUACAGUGAUUUUUGGUACUGGACGUGCCAUAUUCACCCUCCCAAGUGGUACACAAGUGAUGAUAGAGGACUCAUCACGUACCCUGAUCAGUUAUCGAGAUAUCCGUCAGAAUGGUUUUCAUAUUGAAACCCAUGAAGACAACAAAGAGGAGUAUCUACUCUUUACUAAAGAUCACGGAUAUGGCAAAAAGAUACAUGAGAAAAUUCCUUCUCUAUCGUCUGGUUUGUACUAUACGUACAUCAAACCCGUGGAACAUGUUGCAUACAAAGUAAUUUUUCAGAAUGUUGACGCAUUCCAAACUUGGCAUGAUCGCCUAGGCCAUCCCGGAAUCGGGAUGAUGAGAAAAAUUACUAGCAAUUCCAUUGGUCAUAAUUUGCUUGAGUCAAAAUUUCCUCAAUCUUCUGAUUUUGUGUGCACAUCUUGUGCCACGGGAAAGCUAAUUUUGAGGCCCUCGCACCACGAAAUACAAGCUGAACCACUUCAGUUCCUUGAACGUAUUCAAGGAGACAUUUGUGGUCCCAUUCAGCCAUUAUCUGGACCUUUCUAGUAUUUCAUGGUUCUGAUUGACGCAUCUACACAAUGGUCACAUGUGUGUCUUCUAUCCACACGAAACCAUGCAUUUGCCAAGAUAAUGAGGCAAGUCAUUAAGUUGCAAGCCCAUUAUCCUGAAAGUCGAAUUAAGACAAUUCGAAUGGACAAUGCUGCAGAAUUCUCCUCACGUGCUUUCAAUGAUUAUUGGAUGGCUUUGGGGAUUGAAGUUCAGCACUGUGUUCCAUAUGUCCAUCCACAAAAUGGUUUGGCUGAAGCAUUAAUUAAGAGGAUUAAACUCAUUGCAAGACCUUUGUUGACGAAUUGCAACUUGCCAACCUCUUUUUGGGGUCAUGCACUUUUACACGCCGCUGACUUGAUACAAUUGAGGCCAACUGCAUAUCACAGUUCUUCCCCUCUGGAAUUGGUACGUGGAAAUCCUCCAAACAUUUCCCAUCUGCGUAAGUUCGGAUGUGGUGCAUACAUACCGAUCUCACCACCACAGCGGACAUCUAUGGGCCCACACAGAAAGUUGGGGAUCUAUGUGGGGUACAAAUCACCAUCAUUAUCAAGUACGUGGAACCCCUAACUGGAGAUCUGUUCAUAGCCCGUCACGCUGAUUGCAUAUAUAAUGAGGAACAUUUUCCGGCAUUAGGGGGAGAUUUCAAGUACUAGAAAGAAUGCCUAGAAAUUGAUUGGAAUGCUCAUGCCAUUUCAUCCUCUGAUCCACGUACCCAUGAGACCGAACUUCAAGUUAGGAAGAUCAUUAAUUUGCAACAUCUUGCAAAUAAUCUGCCAGAUUAAUUUACUGAUAUGGAAGGUGUUACAAAAUCCUUAAAUCCGGCCAGAAACGCGCUAGAAAGAGUGGAGGUACCAAUAAAAACCACUCAACUCCCUGUUCCUAAAAAGAGGGGGAGUAGUAUGGCCUUUGACCUGGAGCUAGCUUCUAGCAAACAACAAAGGAAAUCAAGGAGAAAAUCCUCGGAGUUAGUAAAUGCAGGUCAACUCAACGUUGACAAACACCUGAUGGGCAGUUCACACCCAGUGGAAGGGCAACCUCCACAACCCAGCUCCAGUGUGCACAAACUGGGUGGAACAUCGGAAUGCCCAGACUCAACCGUAUUGGGAAAUCACGAACAGUCUCUAGGGGUGCAGGAAAUUUCCGUCAACUAUGUUGAUUCUGGUGAAUCAUUUAACUGUACGACUACGACUGUCGACAUAUAUUUUGCUGAAAAGAUUGCAGAUACCCUUAUCACUGAUCAUUAUCCAAGGUCUAUUGUCAAGUGCCAAAGGCGCUCCGACUGGCCUAAACGGAAGAAUGCAAUCCAAGCAGAAAUUGCCUCGCUGAACAAAAGGAAGGUAUUCACUGAAGCAAUACCUACACCUCCCAAUGUUUUCCCUGUGGGAUUCAGAUGGGUUUUCCUCCGGAAAUGGAAUGAGAACAAUGAGGUGGUGAGAUAUAAAGCAAGGCUCGUAGCACAAGGUUUUACGCAGAAACCCGGCAUUGAUUUCAAUGAGACAUACUCUCCAGUAAUGAGUGGAACCACUUUCCGAUAUCUUAUAUCUAUGGCAGUACAAAAUCGUCUAUCCAUGCAGUUGAUGGACGCCGUGACCGCAUAUAUUUACGGGUCACUAGAUUCAUACAUAUAUAUGAAGGUUCCUGACGGAAUCUCUGUCCUGAAUAACAAUGCAAAACGCAACAUGUAUUUUGUAAAGCUGAAUAAGUCAUUGUAUGGCUUAAAACAGUCGGGACAGAUGUGGUACAACCGACUAAGUGAGUUCCUUCUUCUGAAAGGUUACUCCAAUAGUGAUGAUUGCCCAUGUGUCUUCAUCAAGAAGUCCUCUACAGGAUUUUGGAUCAUUUCUGUGUAAGUUGAUGAUCUCAACAUCAUUGGCAACACACCAUACAUUGAUGAAGCACACAAUCAUCUAAAGAUGGAAUUUGAGAUGAAGGAUUUGGGUAAAACCAAAUUUUGCUUAGGUAUUCAACUUGAGCACCUUCCCUUAGGAAUCAUGGUACACAAAGCUGCCUAUAUCCAGAAAAUAUUGGAGAAGUUCAAUAUGGACAAAUCCUAUCCAUCUAAAACUCCUAUGGUGGUUCGAUCUCUAGACGUAGAGAAAGAGCCGUUCAGACCGAGGGAUGAUGGAGAAGAGGUGUUGGGACCUGAAGUUCCAUAUCUCAGUGCUGUUGGAGCGCUUAUGUAUCUUGCAAAUUGCACAAGACGUGAUAUUGCAUUUGCAGUGAAUCUACUUGCUAGACACAGCGCAGCUCCCACCAAACGUCGUUCGUCUGGAGUGAAGAAUAUCUUUCUAUAUCUCCAAGGCACAAAGGGGUCUAGGCUUAUUUCCAGCUUCAGUGCAAUCUGGACUCUGAUAUGAUUGGGUAUGCAGAUGCCAGUUAUUUGUGUGAUCCCCAUAAUGCCAGAUCUCAGACAGGUAUUGUGUUCCUACAUGGUGGUACAACUAUAUCAUGGAAGUCUUCAAAACAAACUCUAGUGGCUACAUCUACCAAUCAUUCUGAAAUAAUUUCAUUAUUUGAAGCAUCAUGUGAAUGUGUAUGGCUUCGCAGAAUGAUAAACCACAUACAACAGUCAUGUGGAAUUGGUUCAAUUCAAUCACCCACCAUUAUCUAUGAGGAUAAUGCGGCAUGUGUUGCACAUAUGCAAACAGGAUACAUCAAGAGUAAUAUCACUAAGCAUAUUUCUCCUAAAUGGUUUUUCCCCCACAAUCUUCAGAAAAGAGGGGAAAUAAGCAUUCUGCAAGUCAAAUAAUGCGACAACCUUGUUGAUUUAUUUACUAAGUCUCUACCAAACUCAACAUUCCAGAAAUAUGUUCAUGUAAUUGGUAUGCGGCAACUUAGAGACUUGCAGGCAACAAGAGGAGUCUCUUCUUGAGAUAUCCUUUUUCAAUAACAUCACAUUAUGCUAUUUUUAUGAGUUUAUGUUUCAGGUUCUCAUCAAGUUUUCAUGAAGAACUUUUUGAAGGAGAAUCUUUACAAGAUGAUAGCUGGAGAAUCUUUUCAAGAUAAUAGCCCUACCUGGAUGAUCGUGAGACGACUCUACAUGAUCAAGCGUAGAUUAGGGGGAGUAUUGUGAUUAGUUACAAUAUGUAAUUAGGGAGGAAUCUCCUCUUCCUAAACCUUCGUGCGGUUACACCCGCACGGGCGCUUCUUAUCCUAGAACCGUCGUGUCCUCCAGGACCGACGCCUCUCCAAAGAGUCGGGACUCUUCAGGAGAUAUAUAUACUUCCUGUAAUCAUCAAUGUAUGGGACGCAAUCAGUUUGAUUCAAAACAGUUUGGACAUAGGGAUGGCACCCGCAGGUAUGGAUACGGGUGGAGCCUUCCCAUACCCUUAUCCGUCCCGUCAGAUAUUACCCAUCACCUUUAUCUAUAUCCAUCAACGGGUAUAUUUUUUUCAUAUCCGUUACCGACAGGGUAGAUGGGUACCUGCGGGUAAAAUUAUCCAUAUUUAUAAAACAUCAAUUUAAAUAACUUAUAAUUAUAAACUGCAUUGUAUCAUAUAGUUUACAAAGAUAGAUUAUAACUGUAAAACAACAUCAUAUAGUCAUAAACAACAACACAUGGGCAUACACUUUCAAUUCAUAAAUUAUUGACAUAGUGUAGAUUGUAGAGAUAAUUUUGAGUUUACAUAGAUUUCAUAUGGGUACAUGGGUAUAUGGGUAUGGAUUAUAUGAUCCCAUACCCAUAUCCACUCUACCCGAUGUGUUUCAGAUUUUCCUAUUUAUAUAUAUCCAUGGAUAAAUUUUUGUCACAUACCCGUACCCUUACCCUAAUAGGGUUUUUACCCACAGGGUAGUGGGUAAUGGGUAUCCAUUGUCAUCCCUAUUUGCACACAAUUCAGAUUUUUAGACAACGGGUUUUAGUUAUUUUCUAAACAAAAGUUAUUAAGAUUCUUCUUCUUAUCUAAGGCCAUUAUUUUUCCUUAAACGUCCGCGGGCGUAUGCCGAGACAACACCAAAUGACCCAUGCGCAUCCAUCAUAUGGCAUAAAUUUAUCAUCUGUUCAACAGUCUGAUAAUGCAAGAGAUUAAAAUAAACCACAAUUCAAUAAAUUUCAUCACAACUUUUCAGAAAAAAAUCCAUACAUGCCAAAAUUAAAUACAAUAACUCAUAGAUAGGCUAUACGAAAUUGAAUAAUUAGGCAUUGGCGAUGGAAGUCAUGGCCGCACUCUCUUUGUGCACACUACAAAAAAUAUGCUAAUACACGACACUAAGUUUUCGUCGCUACAUCGUCACGGUUUUUAUUUUACGACGAUCUUACAACGAAAAAUGAAGCGUCAAAAACUAACAACAACAACGUUUUGAUCGAAACCGUCGUAACUUCUACGACGAUUCCUGGGUCGUCAUAACCUUUACGACGAUCCUAAAUCAUCGUUGGCAAUCUAACCCAGUCCUACGUGGCAAAAUCACGACAAAAUCAAAACGUCAUGGUUGAAAUCAGCCCAACACAUUUCAAUUGAUCACAUGGGCUGGUUUUAUUUUUAUAGGCUUCUUUUAUUAGGCGUCUUUUUGGGCCUUAGCCUAUUUACAGCCACUUCUAAUAUUUUUUUUGAUUUUUUUGUAUCAUUAUAAUUUGGGCCAUGGCCUUUUAGUGCCCAAAUAAAUUUGGUCCAAUUUCAAUUUUGGCUUUUUUUCAUUUUUGAAUUCAGCAACCUUUUGUUCCAGAACUUGGUUUCAUUUCUAUUUGUUAUAACUUUUCAACCUCAUUAUUUGUCCAAUAUUAAAUCCAACACUACUUCAUAUUCAAAUCAAGAAAACGCCAAGUGGAAUUAAAAUCAUGCAUCAUAUAACAUCACAUGAUAAAUCUCCCAGGUUUACAUAACACAAUAACUCAUCUCAUGAAUACAUUUCCUUACAUAGGAAUAUAGCAAGAACGGACAGAAUUGCACAAUAGAACAAUGUCACAUCUACUAACAAUAGAGUUCAUUCCACUCUCCUAUAAGACAUAGGUUCAAUUUUUUUUAUGUUGUGUUGAUUUGAAUGUCCCAAGUAGGCAUCAUCGACAUCUUCUCACCACUUUCCUAGCAACAGAAAAAGAGACAAAACAAAAAACAUUAAACCGGAUAGGAGCUUCAGUAGCAGAGCAAACCAAAUUGAAUCAAACAUAGACCGGCAUUUGCAUAUGGAUAUUUUUGUUUGACUCGUUUACUGCUCCUACCAUUAGUUCUAAGAACAACAUUUCUGAAUCUACUAGUACUUAACAAAAAUUACAUGAAUACAUUUAGUUACUUGAGUAUACUGACAUACAUGGUCACUCUAAGAUAAAUUGCACAAAAAAAAUAUUCAGGAAAACUUUGAAGGAAAACAAGUAUGAUGCACCAGUUGAUCGUAGAAUCUGUCAAUGUUCAUUAGACCGACUUGAUACACAGUUGCGGGAAAGACAUAUACCUGGAAUAAAUACAAGUAGUGACAGAAAAAAUGCAAUGCAUGAGUCAACAUUAGAUUAGUGAAUGAUCCACUUCCACGCACAGAAACACAAUACAUUUGCUCUGAACAGAGAAUAUUAGAUCAAAAGCACUCACAAUAUUUCUUGAGGCACUCCGAUCUCUUGCAGUGGCACCCCUUCGUGUGCUUGCACACAAGAGGGCCUUCUGCUACUUUGAAAUGGGAUGUAAAGGGAAUGAAUUUCAUACAUGACAUGAUAAGGCAAACAUAUUGGAAUACAAGUCGGAUUUUGGCUUGUUUCUCACAUAACUAUUGACUUAAGCCCUUAACCCAUGGUAUGGGCUCAGCAUCAAUGAUUAUUGCUAGCAGAACGCCAUGGUCAAAUUUGUCAAUUGAGCAAUGUACCCAAAAGGAAGUCAGGUAAUGGCAUCCAUGAUUAAUUUCUGACAUAGGGAACAAAAAUUCUAGAUGACAAAGGGGGAUUUAAGUUUUAUGUCAUUGUUGAUGCACCAAUCUUGCUUAGACAAAAUUCAAAAACUAUUACACAUAUAAUAAAUAAAGAUGUGUCACUUAGUCUAAUGAUAUUUGAGUCUUGACCUCAAAACAUUAUUUGCACCGUAAAUUUACAGGCCACUUCAUGUGUUUCUUCAUCGUGGUUAAUUUUUUCAUGCAGACAAUAAAACAAGCAAGCAAGCAAAUAAGGUUUUAAGAUGACAUAAAUAGCCAAGCCCUUCAGCAACUAGAGAACUGGAGGAAAACACAAGUCAUUCUUGAAACAUAUACAUUGUGGUCUACCUCACAGUUUUGGGCUGCAUGUGGAGGGAUGUUCUUCAAAUUUUUAGGGUCRWUAAAAGRACCMAYUAAASRAUUCCUUUUAAAAUUUAGUACAAACAAUACAAAUAAGACAAUACCUGUCCUGCAGCUUCUAUGUACGAAACAAUUAAUUAAUUAAACUAAGUUUUUAGUUAGUUGUCUAAAACUUUAACCCGGGAUUGACGNNNNNNNNNNNNNNNNNNNNNNNNNNNNNNNNNNNNNNNNNNNNNNNNNNNNNNNNNNNNNNNNNNNNNNNNNNNNNNNNNNNNNNNNNNNNNNNNNNNNUAUUACUAAGUUAAUAGUAAGUAGUAGUCUAGUACUAAMUAAUAUAUAUAUAUAUAUAUAUAUAUAUAUAUAUAUAUGAUGUGAAAUUAAAUAWAUAAACAAAAAAACAGGUACUAUAUGGGCUCUUUGCCGUCUGCCAGCUGAUGGCAAAGACCUGUGCCAUCAGCUGGCAGAUGGCAAAGGUGCCACAUGGCACCCAGCUGUGCAUCCUGGGGUGUCUAUAUAGGCUCUUUGCCGUCUGCCUCCUGGGUGGGCAGACGGAAAAGAAGAGGGCACAGAGGAGGGGGGAGGAGGAGGCAGACGACAAAGAGUGGAGGGGGAGGGGAGGAGGAGGAGGCAGACGACAAAGAAUAAGGGGGAGCAGAUGGCAAAGAAUAAGGGGUAGGCAGACGGCAAAGCCUCUGUUAACCCCUAACGGAGGCAACGCCUGGCAGCUGCCGUCUCGAGCACUUUGCCGAUUGCUCCUAUGGAAAGCUGACGGCAAAGAGCUUUGCCAUCCGCUUUGGGGGAACAGACGGCAAAGAAGGUCCUAUGCCGUCGUAGGCUGACGUAGAAAUCUUGCCGGCCGUGAGAAUCUUUGCCGUUUGUGGUAUUGUCUUUGCCGUCUGUGGAAUUGUCUUUGCCGUCUGUGAUGGCAGACGGCAAAGAAGCUGAUUCCUGUAGUGUUCAGUCCGAUGUUGUACGCCGACAGUUACCUCUUUUGUUGGAUCUGGAUGUGAUGGGGGCCAGGGGCGAUGGAAAAGAGCUGAGAAAAGCAGUGUGUGAAUUAGUCUACUAAUUCAUUUCUUUACAGGUUUGUGCUAGCGGUGCCUUGAUUAUGAAGAUCUGUAUACUCUUGUAUGCUAUGGUUGAUUUGUUGCCAUGCCUUUUUUUGUGAAUUCCUGAGUUGGAUACCCAAUUCAUUUCCAUACCCUUACUGAUCUAGGUGUGUUUCUUCCCCUGGACAGGCGCAGAAUGAUCCACUGAGUCGUUGUUCUGCUGCAAAAAUGAUAGCAGUUAUAUCGUGAGUUUUCUCGCUUUAUCGUUAGUUUUAGCGCUUACACUUUGGUUUGUCACUUUCUUGUGGCUAUGGUGAUAUGAUUCCACGAUGACUAGGAGUUGAACUUGCAUGCUAACACCGAUUAAACAAAACACUACAUGUUUGUUGCAUGCUGCGUGAAAAUGAAUUUUGACUUGUAGUGGUAGACGGUUAGUGCAACUUAGCAACCAUUGUUGGUCUGACAAGUAUUAAUAUUCACAAGUAAAUUGGUUUGGUUGCUUGCUCGCAAGCUCAAAUUUAUGCUUCCUCGUGCACCUCCAGUGAUCCCGCACCCCUUCUGUUUCCAAAUGUUAGUCCCUUUAAUAGGAAUAGUAUAUUCCAGUGAAUGAGACCAACUCCAUGUUCUCCCUACCCUUUUACUCCUUAUAUAUGAUAUGGUUUACAAGUAAUAGAACAUAUGUAGCAAUUCUUGUUUAUGUACUCCUCUAAAUCUUCCGCGUUUCAUUUGGUUACCUAAUUUUAACUGUAACAUCGCUAAUGAAUUGAUGAUCAUAAUUCUACUAUAGUCUUCAACUGAAAUUAUGUUGGUUUAUGGUGUCAAUGACAUUGGAUGUCACUACUUUUCCACUUGUACUCAUGAAAUGACGGUUCCGUAACAUUAUAUAUGCUCUGUAGGACUACAUUCCCCUAUCUCUCCCCUCUCGCAGGAACUGUAGCGACAGAGUGGGGUGGUACAGUGUUGGCGACAAGGAGGAAGAGAGACGGCCGCAUCAAUUUUUCAAGUAAGGGAGCACCCACUAGGCUGAAAUCCCCCAUGGCGAACACACAAAGAGGCCAAUAACAGUGCUCGCAAACCUGCUGCCGUUAUACCAAUUUUUUUUUGGUGAUUCUGGACAACCAAAUCAAGGAUAAUAGAAAGUAAUCAUAAAUUAAUGUCCAGCGUCAUCUUGCUUUUACCUUUCUAGAUUUUCUACUCGUGUUCCUUUUUUGCAUGUUUUCUGAUUCAAUCUCCCAUGUAUAUGAUUUAUUUUGUCCACUUCCAUUAAUAAGUCAGGCAUGCAUCCGCAUCUUUCUGAGAUAAUUGCUAUGGUCUAAUUCUCAGUAGCCUAUGUUUUUGACUUAUGUAGUCUUUACUUUUAAAUUAGUAAUUACGGUUCCCUAACUUCGGACCUAAAACUUAAGUAAAAAGUUAGGUUAAUUGGUACUUACCUAAUUGGUUACUUCCUAAUUNNNNNNNNNNNNNNNNNNNNNNNNNNNNNNNNNNNNNNNNNNNNNNNNNNNNNNNNNNNNNNNNNNNNNNNNNNNNNNNNNNNNNNNNNNNNNNNNNNNNUGUNAUACAACUAGGUUAAGUUUUUUUUAGUUAUACCUAAGGAUGACUAACAAGGUUGUGCAUGCCUCCAGCGACUUCCUUCUUAUGGACGUGGUGCAGCAUCUCGGAGUUGGAAUAUACGCUUUUGAUGAGAUGGUCAAAGCUUUUUGGKUUUUGUACAAGGUUCAUGAGAAACUUGUAUUUUCAAAGAAGUGCGUGGGAGCACUAUAGAAUUUCUGAUAAGUAUAUGUGGUUGACAUAUUGUUGAUCAGAAGUAAUGUAGAAUUUCUAUAAAGCAUAAGGGUUGUUUGAAAGGGGGUUUUCAAAGGAAGACCUGGAAAGAGCUACUUGAACAAUGAGCAUCAAGAUCUAUGGAGAUAGAUAAAAAUGCUAAACAUAACUUUCAAAUGAAAUGCAUGCCUUGACAAGUUUUUGAAUGAGUUCAAAAUAGAUCAGCAAAGAAGGAGUUCUUGGCUGUGUUGUAACAUGUGAAUUUGAGUAAGCCUCAAAAGCCCGACCACGGCAGAAGAAAGAGAAAGGACGAAGGUCGUCCCCUAUUCCUUAAUCGUAGACUCUAAAGUAUGCCAUGUUGUGUGCCGCACCUGAUGUGUGACUUACCACAAGUCUGUUAAGAGGUACAGAGAGUGAUACAUGAUUUAAUCACUGAACAACGAUCAAAGUUAUCCUUAGUAACUAAUGGACUAAGGAAUUUUUCUCGAAUAUGGAGGUGGUUAAAGAAUUCGUCGUAAAGGGUUACGUCGAUGCAAGCUUUUACACUAAUCCGAAUAACAAUGAGUAGUAAAACGGAUUCGUAUAGUAGAGUAGAUAUUCGAAGUAUUUCCGAAUAGCACGUAGUAGCAGCAUCUAUAAGAUGACAUAAAUAUUUGUAAAGCACACACGGAUCUAAAAGAUUCAGAACCGUUUACUAAAACCUCUAUCACGAGCAAGACGUGAUCAAACCCCAGAACUAUAUGGGUGUUGGAUUCUUUAAAAUCACAUGGUGAUGUGUACUAGAUUAUUGACUCCAGUGCAUGUGGGAGAGUGUUGGAAAUAUGCCCUAGAGUCAAUAAUAAAUUAGUUAUUAUUAUAUUUCCUUGUUCAUAAUAAAUGUUUAUUAUCCAUGCUAGAAUUGUAUUGAUUGGAAACUCAAAUACAUGUGUGGAUACAUAGAGAACACACUGUCCCUAAUGAGCCUCUAGUUGACUAGUUCGUUGAUCAAAGAUGGUCAAGGUUUCCUGGCCAUAGGCAAGUGUUGUCACCUGAUAACGGGAUCACAUCAUUAGGAGAAUCAUGAGAUGGAAAAGACCCAAAUAAUAACCGUAGCAUGUGAUCGUGUUAUUUUGUUGCUAUUGUUUUCUACGGGUCAAGUAUUCAUUCCUGUGACCAUGAGAGCAUGUAACUUACUGGCACUCAAGGAAUACCUUCUGUGUAUCUAACGUCGCAACGUAACUGAGUGACUAUAGAGGUGCUCUACAGGUAUCUCCAAAGGUGUCCGUUGAGUUAACAUGGAUCAAGACUGGGAUUUCUCACUCCAUGUGACGGAGAGGUAUCUCGGGGCGCACCCGGUAAUACAACAUCUCAUAUAAGCCUUGCAAGCAAUGUGACUCAAGUGUGAGUCACGGGGAUCUUGUAUUACGGAAUGAGACUUGUCGGUAAUGAGAUUGAAAUAGGUAUAGGGAUACCGACGAACAAAUCUCGGGCAAGUAACAUACCGAAGGACAAAGGGAAUGUUAUAUGAGAUUAUAUGAAUCCUUGGCACAGAGAUUCAGCCGAUAAGAUGUUGGUAGAAUAUGUAGGAUCCAAUAUGGGCAUCGAGGUCCCGCUAUUGGAUAUUGACCGAGGAGUGUCUCGGGUCAUGUCUACAUAGUUCUCGAACCCGCAGGGUCUGCACACUUAAGGUUCGAUGGUGUUUUAGUAUAGUUGAGUUAUAUGUGUUGGUGACUGAAGGUUCUUCGGAGUCCCGUAUGAGAUCACGGACGUCAUGUGGCUUUCCGGAAUGGUCCGGAAACGAUAUAUAGGAAGUUGGUGUUUGGAUUCCGGAAAGUUUUCGGGCAUUGCCGGCAGAGUAGCGGGACUGACGAAUGAGUUCCAGGGGCCCACUGGGUGGGCCCACCACAGUCCAAGGGGUCCACGUGGGUUUAUUGGAUGUACAAUAAGGUAUAAUGGGCUGACAAAGUGAAAGUGCGUUAUAUCGACUAGAGGGGGGGUGAAUAGGAGAUUUUUAGAAUUUCAUCACUGAGGAAAUUCCUUUUGAGGAAAUUCCUCACAGAUGACUAACUUGCACCAGAAACAGCAAAUAGUAAGGGGUGCAAAGUAUCACAACAGCAGUUUCAAGAUGAGGAAAUGAAAAGCAGUUUGCACAAUACGCAGGCACAGAGAAAACAGGUGAGGAUUAACUCGCGUGAAGAAUUUGGAGUUGAGGAAUUUCAGAGAAAGUCUUUAGCAAAUUCUUCAAAGAAUGACAAUUAAAAUCUUCAACAUACAAUAUUGAGGAAUUGAAAGAGUUGAAGAAAUAGAACCUGUAUCACAGUGAAGACAUUGGUUGAUGAACCAGUUCCAACUGAUGUGACAGUUGUACGUCUGGUUUGGAGCGGCAAGGUAUUGAAACCAAAAGACACACAGUCCCGGGACACACAGUCCCUACCGUAUUCUCCUUGAGCUAAGGACACACAGUCCUCGCCCAACACUCGUGGGAAGUCUUCAGGGCAGACUUCCAAACCCUCACAAACUUGGUCACCCACAGAUCCACAAUUGACUACUGGAUUGCUCUAGACCAUGACGCCUAACCGUGUGGACGAUGCACAGUCCUCAAAGGUAAAAGGCUUCAGUCCCACAUAGGAACAAAUUCUUCAGUGAUGAUCAAUCACUUGGUUUUUGGUUUGGUGUUUGGUGUUUGGUGUUUGGGGUAUUUCCUCACUGAUGAUUUACUCUCGAAGACUCUCAGGAAUUUGGGUUUGCUCUAAGUGUCAAGUGUCAGUUUCUCACAGAGCAGCCAACCAGCUAAUGGUUGUGGGGGGCUUAUUUAUAACCUGGGAGCAUCCCAACAUGAUUUGACAUUAAUGCCCUUUACUAAUAUGACCGUUGGUGUGGAUAAGAUCAGUGAUGUGGUCCGAAUUGCGGUAACGGUCAGGACCCUCAACUGUGAGAGUCCUCACGUCUCUCAUAUUCCUCACUUGAGGGUUUUGGUAGGAUUAGGCUUGGGUUGAGCAUGAUGAGGAAAUUCAUUCCGAAGUAUUGCCUCGACCCCCUUUAACAGUACGGUGUUCCUAUGACUCAAGAGUGAAGAAAAUAAAAUAGAAAUAAUAAAUCUUCAUGCUUCAAAGUCUUCAGAUUGAUUUUCUUCAGGACACACCAAAUUCCUCAUCUUCAAUAUCUUCAUGAGUAAUAUCAAUUUCAUUGCAAUUUCUUCGCAGUUCAAUUCUUCAGCUUCAGACCAAUUUCUUCGGUCGAAGAUAUACAUUUUAGGGUUCGAUAUUCAUCGAAUAUUUCAAACUCCUCAGCGACUUAUAGAUCAUGUGUACACUCAUGAACACAUUAGAUACUUNNNNNNNNNNNNNNNNNNNNNNNNNNNNNNNNNNNNNNNNNNNNNNNNNNNNNNNNNNNNNNNNNNNNNNNNNNNNNNNNNNNNNNNNNNNNNNNNNNNNAUAUAUAGGCAAAUGUAAAUCAUCAAGUGUUUUGAAGAUUUUUGACUAACUUGAGGAUUUUGUGAUAAAGCGUGAGGUUGAUGAAUUUCACUUUGGAAGAAAAUAAGCUUUGAGGAAACACAUCUUUAAAGAACAACAACAUUGAAGAAAAUCAACUUUGAGGAAAAACAACUUUGAAGAAACUCAACUUGAGGAAUUUCAAAGUUGGGUGGUGGCGUGACCCACCGUAUAAAAAUGAUGAUUUCAGGCGCCGCGUACAAUUGUCGUAGGGCCCUGAGAACCAAAUUCUUCAUUAAUUUCCUCACACUAAGAGUGAUAUUCUUCAUCGGUUGAAGAAAAUCGAUUCUUCGUGUGUUGCACAUCAAGUCAUCAAUUUUGCCUAAGUGUUAGGAUCUAUGCAUGUUUUUACAAGACAUUUGAAGAUUCUAAGAUAUUUAGCUCACACCGCAACUUGCAAAACCUUUCCUCAUCCAAGGGCUUAGUGAAAAUAUCAGUUGGUUGGUCGUCAGUCUUCACAUGGUCGAUGAUGAUAUUGCCCUUGAGGACAUGGUCCCGAAGAAAAUGAUGACGAAUCUGGAUGUGCUUAGUCUUCGAGUGUUGUUCAGGGUUGUACACAAUCUUGAUUGUACUCUCAUUGUCACAGUACAGAGGCACAUUCUUCAUGUUGAUGCCGUAGUCCUUGAGGGUUUGCUUCAUCCAUAGCAAUUGAGCACAGCAUGAACCAGCAGCAAUGUACUCAGCUUCGAUAGUGGCGAGAGAAACGCAGUUCUGUUUCUUUGAGGACCAGCGGACUAAUGAUCUUCUGAGGAAAUGACAAGUGCCAGAAGUUGACUUGCGAUCCACAGGGUCACCAGCAUAGUCAGAAUCCGAAUAUCCCACAAGAUGAAGAUUAGAGCCCUUGGGGUACCAUAAUCCUAGUGUUGGUGUGUGAGCUAAGUAUCAAAGAAUAUGCUUCAUAGCCUUAUGGUGUGAUUCCUUCGGUUUUGCUUGAAAACGUGCACACAUGCAAACAUUAAGCAUUAUAUCUGGCCUAGAUGCACACAAAUACAAUAAAGAUCCAAUCAUGGAGCGAUGUACCUGCUGAUCGAAUUCUUUACUAUUUUCGUCGUUGUAGAGGUGGUCAUUGGUAGGCAUGGGAGUCUUGGCGCCUUUGCAUUCAUGCAUGUCGAAUUUCCUCAGAACAUCCUUGAGGUAUUUCUCCUGUGAUAUGAAGAUCCCAUUGUGUUGUUGAUGAAUUUGAAGACCUAAGAAGAAUUUCAGCUCCCCCAUCAUAGACAUCUGAUAUUCUUCACUCAUCAUGUAAGCAAAUUCAUCACUGUAGCGUUUGUCAGUACAGCCAAAUAUGAUGUCAUUGACAUAUAUUUGGCACACAAAUAGUUCAUUGCCAUAGGAUUUUGUGAAAAGAGUUGGAUCGAGUGAACCAGGUUUGAAGCCUUUCUUCAUGAGGAAUUCCUUCAGUGUAUCGUACCACGCUCGUGGGGCUUGCUUGAGACCAUAGAGCGCCUUUUUGAGUCUGAAGACUUUGUCUGGAUUCUUUGGAUCCUCAAAACCUGGGGGCUGAGCAACAUAUACUUCUUCCUCAAGCUUACCAUUGAGGAAUGCACUUUUCACAUCCAUUUGAUAUAAGGUAAUGUUAUGAUGAUUAGCAUAAGCAAGUAGUAUUCAAAUAGCUUCAACUCUAGCAAUAGGUGCAAAAGUUUCAUCGAAAUCAAUUCCUUCAACCUGUGUGUAGCCUUGGGCUACAAGUCGUGCCUUAUUCCUCACCACUUGACCAUCCUCAUCUUGCUUGUUUCGAAAAAUCCACUUGGUGCCAAUGAUAUUGUGCUUCCAAAGAUCUGGUCAUUUGACGAGCUCCCAUAAGUCAUUCAGCUUGAAUUGAAGAAGUUCGUCUUGCAUGGCUUGAAUCCACUCAGGUUCCACUCAGGUUCUGUGAUAGACACAAAAUAAGAAUGCCCACAAAAGUUAACGAAGUGUGAAGCUUUUGAGCGAGUGAGAGGACCUGGCACGUUGAUGUCAUCGAGGAUUUUGUCAAGUUCUACUUCAUUUGCAAUCCUCGGAUGAGCUGGUUGAGGAUUUCGUCUGGGCUGAGGAAUUGGUUCUGGAGCAAUUUCCUCAGGAGCAUCUUCUUGAUUUUCAGCAGUGCUGGGAAUGAUUUCUUCAGCAAUUUCCUAAGUAGGAACAAUGUCUUCAGUAGCUUUGAGCUUUAUUGCUUCCUCAGGAGACAGCUUAUCUGGAUCACGAGGCAAUUGCUCUCUUUGUGAACCAUUAGUUUCAUCAAACCGCACAUCUACAUUUUCAACAACCUUGUUGUGAUAGGUGUUGAAGACUCUGUAGGUGUGCGGGUCCUUUCCGUAACCAAGCAUAAAACCCUCAUGUGCCUUAGGUGCAAACUUUGAGCUAUGGUGAGGAUCUCUAAUCCAGCAUUUUGCACCGAAGACUUUGAAAUAACUUACGUUGGGUUUCUUGUCAGUGAGGAGUUCAUAUGAGGUUUUCUUGAGGAAUUUGUGAAGAUAUACCCUGUUGAUGAUAUGGCAAGCAGUGUUGAUUGCUUCAGGCCAGAAACGAUGAGGAGUCUGAUAUUCUUCAAGCAUGGUUCGUGCCAUCUCAACCAGAGUCAUGUCCUUUCUUUCGACGACGCCAUUCUGUUGAGGAGUAUAAGGAGCACACAAUUCGUGAGUAAUACCAAGUUCAUCAAGAUAAUUAUCAAGACCAGUGUUUUUGAAUUCUGUUCCAUUAUCACUCUUGAUGUGUUUGAUCAUGACGCCGAAGUUCGUCGAGGCCCUUGAGGAAAAUCGUUUGAAGACUUCCUGCACUUCAGUUUUAUACAUAAUGAUAUGCACCCAAGUGUAUCUGGAAUAAUCAUCAACUAUGACAAAGCCAUAUAAAGAUGUAGCAUUUGUUAGAGUGUCACAAUGAGUAGGUCCAAAUAGAUCCAUGUGAAGCAAUUCAAAUGGACGCGUAGUGGUCAUGAUAGUCUUCGAGGGGUGUUUGGAUCUGGUCAUUUUUUCAGACUCACAAGCACCGCAGAGGUGGUCCUUGAGGAAUUUGACUGAUUCCAUGCCAAUGACAUGUUUCUUCUUCGCGAGCCUGUGCAAAUUCCUCAUGCCUGCAUGACCUAGUCUUCGAUGCCAUAGCCACCCUUCUGUGGUUUUUGCUAGUAAGCAUCUGGCUGGUUGAUGACCUAUAGAGAAAUCAACAAGGUACAAAUCCCCUCUUCUAACACCAUCGAAGACUUUGGAUCUGUCAGAUUCUUUGAUGAAAACACAUCUAUAUUUUCCAAAGAUAACAACCAUAUCAAGAUCACAAAGCAUUGAGGCUGACAUGAGGUUAAACCCAAGGGAUUCAACAAGCAUCACUUUGUCUAUAUGCCUGUCCUUGGAAAUAGCCACAUUGCCAGGUCCCAAUACCUUGCUUUUACCUUUGUCAACAUAAGUGAUUUGCUUCAGGGGUGAUGGAGUCAGUGGCAUAUUCAUCAACAAGCUUUUGCCACGAGUAAUGUGGUGUGUGCAGCCACUAUCAAGAACCCACUCGGUGCUCUUGGGUUUGUCAUCCUGCAGAUGAAUUAGUACAGCUUACCAUCUCAUAUGCUUCAGACUUGAAGAAUAUGAUAUCAAUUUCAUCAGAUAGGAAUUUCAUCAUAAACAUUAAUUUUGAGGACGUGUGAAAUAUUUUCAUUUCAUCAAUAUUAUCUUGCGUCCUAUCAAGCAUUUUCCUUAGGUCUCCAGCUAAUUCUUCAGAUGAUGAUUUUCAUCUGGAGACCUGUCCUGCAGAAGUGAUUAGUUCAAUUUCUUCCCCACCACAUCUGAAAGGGGUCAUAAAGAAUUCAUCAUCCUGCGAGCACCAUAUGAGAAAGGGGGCAUUGAAGCUAAUGCACUUCUCUUCACAGUAGGGGGGUUAGAGUACUCAAAUGAAUAGGCAGAGAAAUUCUUUGAGGAUUUAUGAACAUAAUUAAUUGAAGAGUAAUACUCAUAUUCAUGUCCCUUGUAAUUUCCCUGCAUAUUAGAAGCAUUAGCACGGGUACGAGCAUAGUUUUGACCAGUUGUGGAUUGUGAUCCUCUUGAAGACUUUGGUCCUCCUGAGGAAUUUGAUCUGGGGUUCACAUUCUUGAUAGGUGGUGUCAUGAGGACAUUCACCUGAAGAUUUUGAAGGCAACUUUUGGGGACCCAUAUUUUCCUCAGGGGUGGUCCAUUCCUGCAGUUAGUUCCAACAUAUCGAGCAAAUACUUCACGAGAUUGAUUUUUGAACAGUUUAUAGUUGGAGUCAAAUGACUCAUCUGAGGAAUAGGAUAAUUCACAUGCAAAGCCUGUUAGAUUGGAUGGAUCAAUAGGAGGCCCUUUAGCGGCAACCCAUGAGGUUUUGGGAUACUGCUCAGCUUUCUAGUAUGAUCCAUCAGCAUUCAAUUUCCUCUCAAAGGCAAUUCCUUCUUUCCUCGGGUUCCUGUUCAAAAUUAGCUUUUUGAGCACAUCGCAAAGGGUUUGGUGCCCUUUGAUACUUUUGUACAUGCCUGUCACAUACAAUUCCUUCAGCCCUGCAUUUUCAUCAGUGGCAUUUGUGGUUUCCUCAAAUGAGGAAUUUGAUACCACACGGGCAGUUGAAGAAUUUGUAGCAAUAGAAGCAUUUGAUGAUUCUCGUGAAGAAUUAGCAGUUUCACGUUCGAUCCAUUUAAGACACGGAGGAAUGAAUUCAGCCUAAGCGGCACUGAUCUGUUGAGUGAGUAAUGAAUCAUUUUCCAUACGAAGAUCAUCAUGAGAAAUCCUCAGCUUCUCAAGAUCAAGUUUCCUUUCAAGAAAUUCAUAGGAAAAUUUCUCAUGAUCAGCGAGGAGUGUGCCAUGACGAUCUUGAAGAUUAUCAAAUCGGGACUGAAGACUUUUCAUAUCUUCAGUGAGGAUUUGCGUAAGAUUCAUUUCAUCAUUCAACAGGUCAUCGCUUCUAUCUAGCAGUUUCUGAAGCUUUUCGAGGGCAGUUUGUUGUUUAGUUGCCAUGAUAGCAAGUUUACUGUACCUCAAUCAGAGGAGGAAGCAUCAUUCGGUACCUUUGAACCUUUUGCCAUGAAGCAAUAGGUUGGAGCGAAGUCAUCAGCAUAGUCAUCAGUGUGGAUGGCGUUGUCAUUUUCUUCAAGGUUGAAGAUUGACUUGCUGACGAAUGUGGUUGCUAGUGCAAGACUAGCCUGUCCAGAUUCUGAGUCUUCUUCAGAACCCUCCUCUUCAUCACAUUCCUCAGAUUCUGCCUCAGAAUCCAUUUCCUUGCCAAUAAGUGCCCGAGCCUUUCUGAAACUAGUCUUCUUGUGCGACGAGGACUUUGAGGAUGAGGAUUUUGAAGAUUUCUUAUUUUUCUUUGACUCAUCAGAACUUUCUGAAACUUUCUUCUUUGAUUCCUUCACCCAACAAGGACAAUCAGCAAUGUAGCGACCUGAUUUCUUGCAUUUGUGGCAUGUUCUUUUCUUGUAGUCCUCAGAUGAAGCGUAUGAUUUCCUCAUAUCUCUUCUUAAAGAUUUACCAAACUGGCCACGUCUUGUAAACUUUNNNNNNNNNNNNNNNNNNNNNNNNNNNNNNNNNNNNNNNNNNNNNNNNNNNNNNNNNNNNNNNNNNNNNNNNNNNNNNNNNNNNNNNNNNNNNNNNNNNNUUCAAACUCCUCAGCGACUUAUAGAUCAUGUGUACACUCGUGAACACAUUAGAUACUUAACCUAUAAGUCUUCAAACCACCAAAAUCACUAAGCGGCACUAGAUGCACUUAUACAAAGUCAUCCAAGGAAAGCCCAUGAGGAAAAAGUGGAAAAUCAAAAAAGGGGUGGGAAAAUAAGGAAGGAGUCCUAAUCCAAGUGGGAUUGGAGAAGGACUCCUCCCUCUCUCCAAACUUCAACCGACCCAAGGAGGACUCCUUGGUGCGCCAAGGCUGCCUAGGGCUGCCUCUCCCCUCCUCCUAUAUAUACUAGAGGUUUAGGGCAUUUGAGACACAACUUUGCCACGUGCACCUCAAACCUACACCUCGUAGUUCUUCCUCUAGAUUAGAUUUCUGCGGAGCUCGGGCGGAGCCCUGCAGGAAUAGUUCAUCACCAACACCGGCGCGUCGUCACAUUGCCAGAGAACUCAUCUACUUCUCCGUCUCUAUUGCUGGAUCAAGAAGGCCGAGAUCGUCAUCGAGUUGUACGUGUGCUGAAUGCAGAGGUGCCGUCCGUUCGGUGCUAGAUCGGGACGGAUCGUGGGACAGAUCGCGAGACGUUUUGUGGGACGGAUCGAGGGACGGUUCGUGGGAUUCUUCGAGGGAUGUGAAGAUGUUCCACUACAUCAACUGCGUUGCUUAACGCUUCCCGCUGUGCGAUUUACAAGGGUACGUCGAUCUAAUCUCCACUCGUAGAUGGACAUCACCAUGAUAUAUAGGUCUUUUUGUGCGUAGGAAAUUUUUUGUUUCCCAUGCAACGUUCCCCAACACUACAUUGACCGGGAGAUAGCCAACGCACUUCAGCUCCUAGAUGUGGUCGCCGGUGACGCCAGAGGCCACCCACUUGCCCUUGGAACCAAAACUGGCCAUGGCCGAACUGGGCAAGUGGCCUAAGGAGAUUUGAGGGAAGGAUGGAUCUGGGCGCUUAGCGCACAAGAGAUUGGGAAGGAGACCGUAAUGAGAGAUCUGAGAAGCGUAUGGAGGCCUUGGUGGUUGUUUCCCUUUUAUAAGCUGUCAUAAUACCUAGAGCCCCUUUACUGCCCCGCGGACCUUGCCAGUUCUGAUAUAAUCGUGUCGUUAUGCAUGCGUGGGAUAGCGAAAACCAUGAAUCAUAUCCCUUAUAAAAUGGGGCACGAUCACUAUAUCGAUGGGACGUGCUAAUGAAGGAACUGCUUCGAAUCACGAAUCGAUCUUCCAUAACUCGUCGGUAGUAGGGACCGGUUGCGACCUUUAGCUAAAAGUUUUCAAACGAAGAAAAUUUUCACACUCGAGCGGUUGGCCUUCGAGGCUAACUAACACAUACUGUUUGGAAAUGGGUAAGUCGUCAGUGGCCGAACUAGUACUCGCCGAACAUAGAAGGGGAAAAGAACUCGCCCCGCAAGCCGGAAACUUUGGACACGUGAAGCUGUUGGGGAUCUAGACCCCGACAUUGAAGGCUAGUUCAUGGGUUACCGAGGGAGUCCGAUACUAUGGGGUCCUCGGGCCGCCGGUCUAUCUCUUAUGGGCCAGAUAGGUGGGCCGCUGUGUGACUAUUACUUGAACGUCGAGCUAUAAGGCGACUCUGUGUUAAGGAAGGAAUCCUCUGGUGCCUUGGCAUGUGCUCCAAGUCAAGAUGAUAGAAUCGGCAUGUUUAUUCCCUGAUGACAACCAACCAUGCGUAACCCUAGGUACCCCUGGCACUACUAGGAAAGGCUUAAUAAUGGCGCACAUAUUUUUGGCUACUARURKMGCAYUAUGGUGCGCCAUUAGUAUGCCUCCCAGGGCCAUAUUUACCCAUGUGCUCUGGCUNNNNNNNNNNNNNNNNNNNNNNNNNNNNNNNNNNNNNNNNNNNNNNNNNNNNNNNNNNNNNNNNNNNNNNNNNNNNNNNNNNNNNNNNNNNNNNNNNNNNCGGCCACCCCUGCGCCGCCCCCUACGCCGACCCCUGUGCAACCCCCUGCGUCACCCCCUCCCCUCACCUGCCCCGCGCCGCCCACCUCCCCUCCACCCGGCCUCCCUCGCGCCACCCYKCGCCGCCSCCUCCCUCACCUGCCCCGGCGCCGCCCCCUCCCUCACCAGCUCCCUGCGCAGGCCCACCCUCACCGGUUCCUGGCGACACCCUCCCCUCACCGGCCGUCCCCAACUUCGGUGAGUGCCUCUGGUACCCUAUUUUUUCAGUUUUUUUUCUUUUGAAUUAGAUAGUUAGUUUAUUAGGUUACUACUAGUUUAGGUUAAUUCAGUUAGUGCAAGAUGAGAAUAAAAUGAAGAAGAAGAGGAGGAGAAGAAGAAAAGAAGAAGAAGAAGAGAGAGADAGANANAANAAAGAGAGAGAGAAGAAGAAGAAGAAGAAGAAGAAGAAGAAGAAGAAGAAGAAGAAGAAGAAGAAGAAGAGAGAGAGAAGAGAGAGAGAGAAGAGANAGGAGGAGGAGGAGGANNNNNNNNNNNNNNNNNNNNNNNNNNNNNNNNNNNNNNNNNNNNNNNNNNNNNNNNNNNNNNNNNNNNNNNNNNNNNNNNNNNNNNNNNNNNNNNNNNNNUGUGUUGUAACAUGUGAAUUUAGAGUAAGCCUACAAAAGCCCGACCACGGCAGAAGAAANAAGAAAGGACGAAGGUCGUCCCCUAUCCUUAAUCGUAGACUCUAAAGUAUGCCAUGUUGUGUGCCGCACCUCGAUCGUGUGACUUACCACAAGUCUGUUAAGAGGUACAGAGAGUGAUACAUGAUUUAAUCACUGAACAACGAUCAAAGUUAUCCUUAGUAACUAAUGGACUAAGGAAUCCACCUAUACUAAGCAGAUUAAAGGUACAGGACUGAAAGUAGCAGUUCAUCAAAAAACAGGCUAUGCAUCAGAUGUAGGAGCUAACUACAACAGUAGCAAAAAUACUAAUGCAAGCAGUAGGAAGAAAGACAUAGGCGAUAUAGGAAUGAUCAAGGGGAGUUUGCUUGCCUUGCUGCUCUGCGGCAAAGGACUGAUCGGCAGGGUCGUAGAUGUACCCGGCAGCAGCGUCAGUCUCGGGGUCUACCGGUAAGAAGAGGGGGAAGAAACAAUAAAUAAUAGCACCGAUGCAACACAAAACAUGACAUGGAAAUAUGCAGGCUAGACAUGAGCUAACGCAGCAACAUCCGUCAUAGACGGGUCGGAAGAAUAUCUGACGAUAUUUUCCGGGUCUCGGGCUACUACCGGUUAUACUGGAAACGAUGGAAAAGUUCCAUGUUUGCUAUGCUAGGGACGCGUGACAGACGAAUGGACCGUGUAUCCGGGUUCGUCUCGCUUUGCUGAUCAACUUUCAUGUUGAAAAUAUUUCGAUCUGACUUACGAUUAUUUAAUAUUAAUUUCCAAAGUUUUAUUAAUUAUUUAAGAAUUAAAAACAGAUUUAAAAGAUUUAGUAAAAUUCCAUUAUGACAUCAUCGCGAUGUCAUGCUGACAUCACAUUUGACUGGUCAACUGACCAGCGGGUCCCGAACGUCAUAGGCACAAGUUUUAUUUAAGAUUAAAUAUUAUUUAAUCAGAUUAGUUUAGUGGGGGGACCCGCGUGUCAUACUCUAAUUAUGUUAAUUAAUUAUUUUAACUAAUAUAUCUAAUUAUUUAUUUAUUUAAGAAAAAUAUUAUUUUUAUAAUUUGUAUUAACUAUCGCGUGGGGCCUCCCUGUCAUAGUCCCGGGUGCAUUGGCCCCACCGGUAAGUGACCUAAGGCCAAAUACACAUUUUAAAUCACAAAUAAAUAAACAUACAAAUGUUGUAUCUCUCCACAUGCCUAUAUACGCAAACACAUACAUAAUACGGGUAUCGAAUACAUACAUACAUACAUACGGAAUACAACAUUUGAUUUUAUUUCUUUUCUCUCAAAAGCUCUCAUCUCUCUCUGUGUUAACAGAGACAGAGAACUCACUUUGCUCCAACUCCACCUAGAAGAACCUAAACUUCAAAUCCUCCUACCGGAGUCCACCGUCGACGGAUCGAGGUCCCGUUUGCCGGAAGGGAACCGGCACGGCGAGGAGAUCGACACGGUGGGAGGAGCCCGAAGAGGGGCUCAGCGACGGUGACGUGACGGCCCGGUGAAGCCGGAGUUCGCACGAAGGUGAUGGUGGAGACGGCAUGGUUGCGGUGACGGUGACGGUGACGAUGGUGGUGACGUGCCGACGAGGGGGAGACGGUCGGAUCCGGUCGGAUCCGGUGAGUUGGUGAUGUCUCCCUGCCCGGUCCCUCCCGGACCGAGCAGAAGAUGGCCGACAGGGGCCGGGGGUCGCCGCGGGGAGGAGGAGGCCGAGGGGCGGCCGGGGCUCGCCGGGGGAGGAGGUGGCCGAGGGGAAGGAGGCCGGCGGGGGGAGGCGAGGAGGUAGUGAGGGCGGGCCGCCGGGGGAGGAGAGGAGCCGUGGGGGGGGGGGGCGGCUCGCCGGCGUGGUGGGGUGGCUCGAUGGAGAAGCUCGCCGGCGGGAGGCAGGGGAGGGGCCGNNNNNNNNNNNNNNNNNNNNNNNNNNNNNNNNNNNNNNNNNNNNNNNNNNNNNNNNNNNNNNNNNNNNNNNNNNNNNNNNNNNNNNNNNNNNNNNNNNNNCGAGUGAACCAGGUUUGAAGCCUUUCUUCAUGAGGAAUUCCUUCAGUGUAUCGUACCACGCUCGUGGGGCUUGCUUGAGACCAUAGAGCGCCUUUUUGAGUCUGAAGACUUUGUCUGGAUUCUUUGGAUCCUCAAAACCUGGGGGCUGAGCAACAUAUACUUCUUCCUCAAGCUUACCAUUGAGGAAUGCACUUUUCACAUCCAUUUGAUAUAAGGUAAUGUUAUGAUGAUUAGCAUAAGCAAGUAGUAUUCAAAUAGCUUCAACUCUAGCAAUAGGUGCAAAAGUUUCAUCGAAAUCAAUUCCUUCAACCUGUGUGUAGCCUUGGGCUACAAGUCGUGCCUUAUUCCUCACCACUUGACCAUCCUCAUCUUGCUUGUUUCGAAAAAUCCACUUGGUGCCAAUGAUAUUGUGCUUCCAAAGAUCUGGUCAUUUGACGAGCUCCCAUAAGUCAUUCAGCUUGAAUUGAAGAAGUUCGUCUUGCAUGGCUUGAAUCCACUCAGGUUCCACUCAGGUUCUGUGAUAGACACAAAAUAAGAAUGCCCACAAAAGUUAACGAAGUGUGAAGCUUUGAGCGAGUGAGAGGACCUGGCACGUUGAUGUCAUCGAGGAUUUGUUCUAAGUUCUUACUUCUAUUUGUCAAUCCUCGGNUGAGCUGGUUGGAGGUAGUUUCGUUCGUUGGGUCGUGGUAGGGUAAGUUUAGGGUUUCGUUGGGUAGGUACGUAAACUUUUACCUUCCGUAGGGAGGCGUAUUCUUUCUUUGGUUAACGUUUUUUUACCGAANNNNNNNNNNNNNNNNNNNNNNNNNNNNNNNNNNNNNNNNNNNNNNNNNNNNNNNNNNNNNNNNNNNNNNNNNNNNNNNNNNNNNNNNNNNNNNNNNNNNGGGGUGGUCUAUGUAGUCNCUUUGCUGUCAGCGUCCAGGUGGGCAGACAGCAAGAAGAGGAACAGAGNGGGGGGAGGAGGAGGCAGACGGCAAAGAGUGGAGGAGAGGGGGGAGGGAGGAGCGAGGCGAGACGGACAAGAGUGGACGAGGAGGCAGACGACAAAGAUGGAGGGGAGGGGAGGGGAGGAGAAGGCAGACGACAAAGAUGGAGGGGAGGCAGACGGCAAAGCCUCCGUUAACCCCUAACGGAGGCAACGCGUGUCGGCUCCCGUGUCGAGCACUUUGCCGACUGCUCCUAAGGAAAGCUGACGGCAAAGAGCUUUGUCGUCCGCUUUGCCUGGGCAGAUGGCAAAGAAGGUCCUAUGCCGUCGUAGGCUGACGCAGAAAUUUUGCCAGCCGUGAGAAUCUUUGCCGUCUGCCAUAUUGUCUUUGCCAUCCGGGAUAUUGUCUUUGUCGUCUGUGAUGGCAGACGGCAAAGAAGUUGAUUCCUGUACUGGUAGCACCGUCAAUCUAGAACACAGUGGAUACUAGGGAUCAAUCCCCGUCAAGAACUAUAUCAAUUACAUGAUAGAUCUCAUCCAACUCAUCACCGUCCAGCAAGCCUAUGAUGAGAUUACUCACAAACGAUGAAGAGCAUCAUGGAAUUGUCGAUGGAGAAAGGUUGAUGAUGACGAUAGCGACGAUUUCCCCUCUCCGGAGCCCGAAACGGACUCCAGAUCUGCCCUCCAAAUGAAGAACAGGAUGUGGCGGCGCCUCCGUAUCGCAAAACGCGAUGAAACCUUCUCUCUGAUUUUUUUCCAGGCGAAAUGGAAGAUAUAGAGCUGAGAUUUGGGGCGCUGGUGCCACGUGGGCCCCACAAGCCCUCACGGCAUGACCAUAGGGGUUGGCUGCGGCCUGUGGGCUUGUGGCCCACUAGCACACCCCCUCCGGUGGACUUUGCACAGGUAUUUUUCUUUUAUUCCAAAAAAAAAUCUCUGUAAAUUUUUUAGGACGUUCCGAGAACUUUCAUUUCUGCACAAAAACAACACCAUGGGAAUUCUGUUGAAAACAGCGUCAGUCCGGGUUAGUUCCAUUCAAAUCAUGCAAAUUAGAGCCCAAAACAAGGGCAAAAGAGUUCAGAAAAGUAGAUACGAUAGAGACGUGUCAUGGGGUUAGGUGUGUUUGCAUGGGCUUGCAUCAAGAGGAAGAUCUCAUUCAACCCAUGGAAGAUUGCGAUGUGCAAGUUCAAGUGGAGCAUCACGAAGAGAUCAUGCUUGAAGUUUGCCGUCCAUUGUGGUAACAAUGGACAUGUGAAGAUGUGUCGAAGAGUGGCUCACCCAUAGUGCAGUAUGGGGGAGCAAUCAACUAGUCUUCAUCGAGCCAACGCAAUCAAGCAAGAUGGUCAAUCUUGAGGAGGACAACAUCAUCAUCAUCAUUUAGCUCAAGUGGACCAUGCGCAAGGCAAGUGUUUGUCCUUGGAUAGGUUUCUAUUUACCAGGCUCAGUGUGUUAGUUGGAGACCGGGUUAUAGGAUAGAUUGUCGUACUAUCAAGGGGGGCUCACAAGUGAGUAGCUUGACCAUAUCGUUCGUUGAGAGCUCAAACCAUUGCAUUCUUGGCAUCAUCAUAUUUCUUGGUUCUUGGUUGAUUUUUCUCUAUGUGUGUUCUUGAGCUUAUGGUCAUCUUCAUGACAAGCUCGAGGUCAUCGAAAACUGUUCAUAUGCAUCUUCUAUGAUGUUUUUGAUAUUGGUAGUUUUUGUUGGUUCUUCAUUCAGAGAGGUUUCACAUCUCUAUAUCAUUGGCUAUUUUCAUAACUGUCGUUGUUUGGUAUAGUACUCGCCGUGUGCUAUCNNNNNNNNNNNNNNNNNNNNNNNNNNNNNNNNNNNNNNNNNNNNNNNNNNNNNNNNNNNNNNNNNNNNNNNNNNNNNNNNNNNNNNNNNNNNNNNNNNNNAGAGUAGUAAAACGGAUUCGUAUAGUAGAGUAGAUAUUCGAAGUAUUUCCGAAUAGCACGUAGUAGCAGCAUCUAUAAGAUGACAUAAAUAUUUGUAAAGCACACACGGAUACUAAAAGAUUCAGAACCGUUUAACUAAAACCUCUAUCACGAGCAAGACGUGAUCAAACCCCAGAACUAUAUGGGUGUUGGAUUCUUUAAAAAUCACAUGGUGAUGUGUACUAGAUUAUUGACUCCAGUGCAUGUGGGAGAGUGUUGGAAAUAUGCCCUAGAGUCAAUAAUAAAUUAGUUAUUAUUAUAUUUCCUUGUUCAUAAUAAAUGUUUAUUAUCCAUGCUAGAAUUGUAUUGAUUGGAAACUCAAAUACAUGUGUGGAUACAUAGAGAACACACUGUCCCUAAUGAGCCUCUAGUUGACUAGUUCGUUGAUCAAAGAUGGUCAAGGUUUCCUGGCCAUAGGCAAGUGUUGUCACCUGAUAACGGGAUCACAUCAUUAGGAGAAUCAUGAGAUGGAAAAGACCCAAAUAAUAACCGUAGCAUGUGAUCGUGUUAUUUGUGNUAUUGUUUUCACGGGUUCAAGUUAUUCAUUCCUGUGACCNUGAGAGCUAUGGUUAACCUUAGUCGGUACUACCUUACCGAAAGGGUAAACUUUACCCGUUUUUACGUUGGUUAGGUUAACUUACCGUUAAACGGUUACGUACGUAANNNNNNNNNNNNNNNNNNNNNNNNNNNNNNNNNNNNNNNNNNNNNNNNNNNNNNNNNNNNNNNNNNNNNNNNNNNNNNNNNNNNNNNNNNNNNNNNNNNNGAGGUAGACGUANMCUUCSUCCUCCUCCUCCUCCUCCUCCUCUCUUCUCUCUCUCUCUUCUUCUUCUUCUUCUUCUUUCUUUUCAUUUUGCCUAUUUCUUCUCCUCUUCUCCUCUUGUUGGAGCUAAAUUACCUAAUUAUGUCUUUUUUGAGCUAAAUGGGCUAAUUAUCCCAUUUUAGAGGAAAACAAGCUAAGUAUAUAAUAUUAAUGAGCUAACCAAGGUUCUUAUGCCAUUUUGAGCUUAUUAUGGUAAUUUGGAGCUAAAUGGGCUAAUUAUGUCAUUGUUGGGUUAAUUAAAGCAAGGAUCAUAUGAAAGAGGAGAAGAAUGGCCAUUUUUUUUAGCUAAAUGGGCUAAUUAUCUCAUUGUUGGGGAAAAUAAGGUAAGGAGAAUAAGAUAGAGGAGAAGAAAGAGGAGGAGGAGGAGAAGAAGAAGAAGAAAUCAAGAAGAAGGAGAAGGAGGAGGAGGAGAAGAAGGAGGAGAAGAAGGAGAAGGAGGAGAAGGGAUUCUUCUUCUCUUCUUCUCUUCUUCAUCUCUUCAUCUCUUCUUCUUUUCUUCUUCUUUUGUUCUUCUCCUUCUUAUUUUUGUCUUCUCUUCUUCUUCUUCUUCUUUUUCUUCUUCCUCUCYUYCUCYUCUUCUCUYUCUUCUCYUCYUCUUCUCUUCUCCUCUCUCUCUCUCUCUCUCUCUCUCUCUCUNNNNNNNNNNNNNNNNNNNNNNNNNNNNNNNNNNNNNNNNNNNNNNNNNNNNNNNNNNNNNNNNNNNNNNNNNNNNNNNNNNNNNNNNNNNNNNNNNNNNAAAGGAAGGGAAGGUAGGGAAGGGAAGGGAAGGGAAGGGAAGGAAGGGAAAGGAAAAAAAGGAAAGGGGAAAGAAAGAAAGUAAAUUAAAGUUAAGGAAADUAAAWAGAAAAAAAAAGUAAGGAAGAAGAAGAAGAAGAAGAAGAAGAAGAAAGAAAAAAUAAAGAAGGAAAAGAAGUAAAGAAGAAGAGAAGAAGAAGAAAAAAGAAGAAGAAGUUGUWUUUUUUAUUGUUUGGUAUUUAGUUUUUUGGAAUUAGAUUAUAACUACCGGCAUGAUUUUUUAUUGUUGUUGUAGUAGUUGUUCUUGUUAUUGUAGUUGUUGUUGUUAUUGUAGUUGUUGUGGCAUAUAUAGUUUAGUUGGUAGGUUAGUUAACUAGUAGUUUUAGUGGUAGUUUAGUUAGUUGGUAGACUUAGUUAGUUAAUUAGUAGAUUUAGUAGGUAGUUUAGUGGUAGAUUUUGUUUUGUUAUUUAGUGGUAGCUAGAUUAUUUUUUAGUUACUUAGUGGUAGAUUCUGUUUUUGUUAUUUUUUUGCUGUUUAGUGCUAUCUAGGUUUAGCGAUAGGUUUAGUUAGCUUCGUUAGUUAGGUUAGUUAGUUAGUCAGCUUAUAGAAAGAAUAGGAAGAAGAAGAAGAGGAGGAGGAGGAGAAGAGGAGAAGAGGAGGAGGAGAGGAAGAAGAAAAAGAAGAAGAAGAAGAAGAGAAGACAAAAAUAAGAAGGAGAAGAACAAAAGAAGAAGAAAGAAGAAGAAGAUAGAAGAGAUAGAAGAAGAGAAGAAGAGAAGAAGAAUWCYCUUACUCUCUCUCUYWCUCCUUCUUCUCCUCCUUCUUCUCCUCCUCCUCCUUCUCCUUCUUCUUGAUUUCUUCUUCUUCUUCUCUCUCUCCUCUUCUUCUCCUCUNUCUUNUUCUCUUNUUCCUACUGNNNNNNNNNNNNNNNNNNNNNNNNNNNNNNNNNNNNNNNNNNNNNNNNNNNNNNNNNNNNNNNNNNNNNNNNNNNNNNNNNNNNNNNNNNNNNNNNNNNNCCUYCUYCUCGUUCUUAUUUGUAUUUCUUCUUCUUCUCCUCCUCCUCCUCUUUCAUAUUAUCCUUAGCYUUAAUUUCCCCAACAAUGCCAUAAUAACCUCAAAAUAGGCAUAAGAACCUUGGUUAGCUCAUGAAUAUUAUAUACUUAGCUUGUUUUCCUCUAAAAUGGGAUAAUUAGCCCAUUUAGCUCCAAAAAGACAUAAUUUGGUAAUUAACUCCAACAAAAGGAGAAGAAAAAGGAAAAAUGAAAGAAGAAGAAGAAGAAGAAGAGAAGAAGGAGAAGGAGGAGGAGCAGGAGCAGGAGAAGGAGGAGAAGGCCAAGGACCUUCUAGUCCUUCUCCUCCUCCUCCUUCUCCUCCUUCUUCUUGAUUUCUUCUUCUUCUCCUCCUCCUCCUCUUUCUUCUCCUCUUUCAUAUUAUCCUUGCUUUAUUUCCCMAAARGWCRSAWUGAUUUCGACUAGUCCUAUAUGUUCACGAGUCCUUCUAGUCUUUUUCGGCUGGAACCAAUAACAUUUGAAGACUACGACGUUCGGUGGGUUUUCACCACAUAACUGAAGUUCAUAAAUUGNUUCAACUCUUCCAUAAUACUCGAUAACACCUUCGCCGAUAGCAGAGACACCACAAUUUGUAGAUUUCUGGUGGGNNNNNNNNNNNNNNNNNNNNNNNNNNNNNNNNNNNNNNNNNNNNNNNNNNNNNNNNNNNNNNNNNNNNNNNNNNNNNNNNNNNNNNNNNNNNNNNNNNNNGAUCAACCACUAGUUAGUCNCUAUGACCAUCUUUGGAUAAUACGAUCACAACUUGACGUCAUACUUCAUGGGUUGGUAUGAGAUCUUCUCCUUUUGACGCAAGCCCAUGGAAACACACCUAACCCCCACAUAGAACUCUCACGAAGACCAUGGGUUAGUACACAAACACGUAAUGGACAAUGCUUACCAUACCAUGGGAUCACUUGAUCCCUCUCGGUACAUCUUGUACGCUUUGUGUGUUGAUCAUCUUGAUUUACUCUUUAUCUGAGAUCGUGAUCAACCUUGUGUCUCUAUGACCAUUCUUUGGAUAAUACCUUGAUACCACCUUGGUCAUCAUAUAAACUCCUUGAACCCAACAGAUGGACUUCAAGAACUGCCUAUGGACAGAUCCUAUAAAUAUAACUUAAGGCAACCAUUAGUCCAUAGGAAUUGUCAUCAAUUACCAAAACCACAUAUGGAGAUAUAUGCUCUAACAAAGAUGAAUGGAGAUAUUCUAACUUUCGCUGGACUCGAUACAGUGAUUUUUGGUACUGGACGUGCCAUAUUCACCCUCCCAAGUGGUACACAAGUGAUGAUAGAGGACUCAUCACGUACCCNNNNNNNNNNNNNNNNNNNNNNNNNNNNNNNNNNNNNNNNNNNNNNNNNNNNNNNNNNNNNNNNNNNNNNNNNNNNNNNNNNNNNNNNNNNNNNNNNNNNUUUUUUUUAAAAAAACGGGGGUUUUUUUUUUUUAAAAAACCCCCGGGGUUUUUUUUUUUUUAAAAAAGGGGGGGGUUUUUUUUUUUUAAACCCCCCCCCCGGGGGUUUUUAAAAAAAAAACCCCCGGGGAAAAACCCCCCCGGGGGGGUUAAAAAAAAAAAAAAAAAAAACCCCCGGGGGGGUUAAAAAAAAAAAAAAACCCGGGUUUUUUUAAAAAAACCCCGGGGGUUUAAAAAAAAAAAAGGGGGGGGGGGGUAAAAAAAACCCCCCGGGGGGUUUUUUUUUAAAACCCCCCGGGGGUUUUUAAACCCGGGGGUUUUAAAAAAAAAAAACCCCCCGGUUUAAAAAAAACCGGUUUUUUUUAAAAAAAACGGGUUUUUUUUUAAAAAAAAACCGGGGGGGUUUUAAAAAAAACCCCCGGGUUUUUUUAAAAAAAAACCCCGGUUUUUUUAAAAACCCCCCCGGGGGGGGUUAAAAAAAAAAAAAAAACCCGUUUUUUUAAAAACCCCCGGGUUUUAAAAAAAAAAAAACCCCCGUUUUUAAAAACCCCCCCCCCGGGGGGUUAAAAAAAAAAACCCCCCCCCGUAAAAAAAAAAACCCCCCCCCCCCCCGUUUAAAAAAAACCCCCGGUUUUUUUUUUUUUUUUUAAAAAACCGGGGGUUUUUUUUAAAAACCCGGGUUUUUUUAAACGGGGGGUUUUUUUUUUUUUAAACCCCCCCCCCCCCCCGGGGGGUUUUUAAAAAACCCGGGUUUUUUAACCGGGUUUUUUACCCCGGUUUUUUUAAAAAAACCGUUUUUUAAAAAAAACGUUUUUUUUUUAAAAAACCCCCGGGGGGGGUUAACCCCGGGUUUUAACCCCCUUAAAAAAAACCCCCCGUUAAAACGGGGGGGAAACCCCCGGGUUAAAACCCCCCCCCCCGGUAAAAAAAAACCCGGUUUUUUUUUUUUUUUUAAACCCCGGUUUUUUUAAAAACUUUACCCCGUUUUAAACCCCCGGGUUUUAACCGGGGGGGGGUCCCGGAAAUUUAACGGGUUACCCCCGAAAAAAAAACCCGGGGGGUAAAACGUUUAAAAAAGGGUAAAAAACGUUACCCUUUGGGGGUAAAAAACGGGGGGUUUUAGGGUUUAAGUUAGGUUUGGUUUUUUAAUUUGGUAAAAGGUUAGGCCCGGCCCAACCAACUGUUCCAAGACCACCUACCUCCCAAAUGAACAGGAUUAUGAACCUCACAUUAACCCAGACACAUAUGAUGAGAAUUCUUCCAAGAAACACGUCUUUCCAAGAAACGUUUCAAGAACCGCCGUGCUUCAUCCAAGAACAUGGAAGUAGACAGCGACAAUGAAUCCGACUCCAGCCCUGAGCCGGAACCAGAAGACCUGGAACUCGUAGAGGUUACUGAUGCGGAUGACCUGUCAAUGCUUCAACGAUUAAAGGAAGGCCUUUCACAACUUCACGCCGUUGAACCCGAUGAGCACGUCAUUCAUGAAGACAUGCGUGAUAGUGAUGAUGAUGAUGCAUUUAUUGUAUGAUGAUUAUUAGUUUGUAAGAUUCACAACUUAAAUUAUAUAUAUUUAAUUCUUUAUUUAUUCAUGUACAUAUUAUUAUUCAUGUCAGUCAUUCUAAUUUCUUUAUGUUGUUACUAAUUUCUUUUUUAAUUACUUUUACUUCUAUGGGUCGAGGUUGUUUGUAAAGAUGGUGGGCGCGGGUCCAGAGCGCUCGCGGGUUCGUUCCNCGGCGCCCUGCACGGAGGGGGUGGUACUUCCCUUCCCUACCCAACUUAGUUCUUCCNNNNNNNNNNNNNNNNNNNNNNNNNNNNNNNNNNNNNNNNNNNNNNNNNNNNNNNNNNNNNNNNNNNNNNNNNNNNNNNNNNNNNNNNNNNNNNNNNNNNUUAGCCCAUAUAGCUACUAAAAGAGCACCAACAAGGAAGGAGAAGGAGGAAGAAAGAAAGUAGGDAAAAAUGAAAAGAAAGAAGAAGAAGAAUAUGAGAAGAAGGAGAAGGAGGAGGAGGAGGAGGAGAAGGCCAAGGACCUUCUAGUCCUUCUCCUCCUCCUCCUUCUCCUCCUUCUUCUUGAUUUCUUCUUCUUCUCCUCCUCCUCUUCUUUCUUCUCCUCUUUCAUAUUAUCCUUGCUUUAAUUUCCCCAACAAUGACAUAAUUAGCCCAUUUAGCUCCAAAAUACCAUAAUAAGCGCAAAAUGGCAUAAGAACCUUGGUUAGCUCAUAAAUAUUAUGUACUUAGCUUGUUUUCCUCUAAAAUGGGAUAAUUAACCCAUUUAGCUCCAAAAAGACAUAAUUAGGUAAUUUAGCUCCAACAAGAGGAACAGAGGAGAACAAAUAGGCAAAAUGAAAAGAAAGAAGAAGAAGAAGAAGAAGAGAAGACGGAGAAGGAGGAGGAGGAGGAGGAGAAGGCCAAGGACCUUCUAGUCCUUCUCCUCCUCCUCCUUCUCCUCCUUCUUCUUGAUUUCUUAUUCUUCUCUCCUCCUCCUCUUUCUUCUCUCUUCUAUAUUAUUCCUUCGUCUUUUNNNNNNNNNNNNNNNNNNNNNNNNNNNNNNNNNNNNNNNNNNNNNNNNNNNNNNNNNNNNNNNNNNNNNNNNNNNNNNNNNNNNNNNNNNNNNNNNNNNNCGUACGUAGUACGUAAMRUAGGUAGUUAGUUWAGUUWRUMHUACAUAAUAUAUAUAUAUAUAUAUAUAUAUAUAUAUAUAUAUAUAUAUCUAAAAAAGGCUAGGCCGUGCAGAUGCACGGGUUGACGACUAGUUUAUAUAAUUCACCACACAUAUAUGAUAUAUAGUUCACCACACAUAUACUUGCCAACACAUAUAUAUAUAGUUCACCACACAUAUAUGAUAUACAUAUAAAUCAAUGUACAUACCCAUAUAUCGAAAGAACCAACAUCCAAAGUAUUGCACUAUUUAUCCAUAUAUACAUAUACAUAUAGUUCGACAUUGUUCAUCAACUCAAAUGAAAACUAGAUGAUAUACAUAUAAAGUUCAUCCAUCGACAUUGUUCAACUCCAUGAAUGCCAGCUUCCAUGCAUGUUGUAUAUCCAAUCUGCAAAAAAUGUGAAUAAGAAAGUCAUAAGAAGAACAAAAUWAAUGAUGUUUUGAGCUAAUUAUGUUCUAUUUUUAGUACGGAAAACAAGACUAAGAAUAAUAAUAUUCAUGAGCUAACCAAGGUUCUUAUGCCAUUUUUAGCUAUUAUGGCAUUUGGUGCUAAAUGGGUUAAUUANCGUACGAUUUAGUUGGGGGAAACGGUUUAAAAGGCGAAGGAUAAAUAUGAAAGAGGAGAAGAAAGNGGAGGAGGAGGANAAGAAGAAAUACAAACAAGAAAGGAGGAGGAAGGAGGAGGAGGAGGAGGAGAGGACUAGAAGGCUUGCGUUCUCCUCCUCCUCCUCCUCCUUCUCCUUCUUCUCUUCNNNNNNNNNNNNNNNNNNNNNNNNNNNNNNNNNNNNNNNNNNNNNNNNNNNNNNNNNNNNNNNNNNNNNNNNNNNNNNNNNNNNNNNNNNNNNNNNNNNNCACGGCAUAGGACCUCUUGCCGAUCUGCCCAGGCAAAGCGGACGACAAAGCUCUUUGCCGUACAGNUUCCUUAGGAGCAUCGGCAAAGUGCUCGACACGGGAGCCGACACGCGUUGCCUCCUUAGGGGGUUUAACCGGAGGCUUUGCCGUCUGCUCCCCCUCCAUCUUUGUCGUCUGCCUUCUCCUCCCUCCCCUCCCCCUCCAUCUUUGUCGUCUGCCUCCUCGUCCAUCUUUGCCGUCUGCCUGCUCCUCCCUCCCCCCCUCUCUCCACUCUUUGCCGUCUGCCUCCUCCUCCCCCCCUCCUCUGUUCCCUCUUCUUUGCUGUCUGCCACCCUGGAGGCUGACAGCAAAGAGACUACAUAGACACCCCAGGAUGCACAGCUGGGUGCCAUGUGUCACCUUUGCCGUCUGCCAGCUGAUGGCACAGGUCUUUGCCAUCAGCUGGCAGACGGCAAAGAGCCCAUAUAGUUCCUAUUUUUUUUUGUUUUAUAUUAUUUCACAUCACACACACACACACACACACACACACACACAUAUAUAUAUAUAUAUUUGAUAGCACUAUUAUAUAAUCACCACACAUAUAUGAUAUAUAGUUCACCACACAUAUACUUGCCAACACAUAUAUAUAAUUCACCACACAUAUAUGAUUCACCAAUAGUACACUCCCACUAUAUACCGAAACGAACCAACAACUACCAAGUAUUGCACUAUUAACCUAUAUAUACAUAUACAUAUUAGUCGNNNNNNNNNNNNNNNNNNNNNNNNNNNNNNNNNNNNNNNNNNNNNNNNNNNNNNNNNNNNNNNNNNNNNNNNNNNNNNNNNNNNNNNNNNNNNNNNNNNNAGGAGGAGGAGGUAGGNGAGGAGACGGANACCGGAGGAACGUUACGGACCUACGGUACCUUCCUACUCCUUCCUCCUCCUCCNCCUCCUUCUUGUGUACUUCUUCUUCUUCUCCUCCUCCUCCUUCUUUCUCUCUUCUCAAUUAUCCUUGCCUUUAAGUUAACCCAACAAUGACAUAAUUAGCCCAUUUAGCUCCAAAAUAACCCAAACUUAAAGUACGUCCUAAAUAAGGUCGAUCAAGAACCUUGGUUAGCUCAUUAAUAUUAUAUACUUAGCUUGUUUUCCUCUAAAAUGGGAUAAUUAGCCCAUUUAGCUCAAAAAAGACAUAAKUAGGUAAUUUAGCUCCAACAAGAGGAGAAGAGGAGAAGAAAUAGGCAAAAUGGAAAACAAAAGAAGAAGAAGAAGAGAAGAAGAAGAAGGAGGAGGAGGAGGAGCAGGAGCAGGAGGAGGAGAAGGCCAAGGACCUUCUAUCCUUCUCCUCCUCCUCCUUCUUCUUGAUUACUUCUUCUUCUUCUCCUCCUCCUCUUUCUUCUCCUCUUUCAUAUUAUCCUUGCUUUAAUUAACCCAACAAUGACAUAAUUAGCCCAUUUAGCUMCMAAAUACCAAACUAAGCUCAAAAUGCAUCAGAACCUUGGUUAGCUCAUUAAUAUUAUAUACUUAGCUUGUUUUCCUCUAAAAUGGGAUAAUUUAGCCCAUUUAGCUACAAAAAAAAGACAUAAGUAGGUAAUUUAGCUCCAAANAAGNNNNNNNNNNNNNNNNNNNNNNNNNNNNNNNNNNNNNNNNNNNNNNNNNNNNNNNNNNNNNNNNNNNNNNNNNNNNNNNNNNNNNNNNNNNNNNNNNNNNCGUUYCUUMCUUCUUACUUSUCUCUCGUAUUUUCUUCUCUUCUUCUUCUUVGUUCUUUCUUUCUAUUUUCCUAUUUCUUCUCCUUUUGUUGGAGCUAAUUACCUAAUUAUGUCUUCUUUCUUCUUCUCCUUAUUAUUGUCUUCUCUUCUUCUUCUUCUUCUUCUCCUUCUUCUUCUCCUCCUCCUCCUCCUCCUCCUCCUCUUCUCCUCUUCUCCUCCUCCUCCUCUUCUUCUUCUUCCUCUUCUUUCUAUUAAGCAAACUAACUAACUAACCUAACUAACCAAGCUAACUAAACCUAUCGCUAAACCUAUAUAGUGCUAAACAGCAAAAAAUAACAAAAACAGAAUCUAUAUCACUAAGUAACUAAAAUAUAGCUCCUUCUUUCCUUUCUCCUAUUUCUCUUCUCCUCCUCCUCCUCCUCUCUCUCUCUCUCUCUCUCUCUCUCUCUCUCUCUCUCUCUCUCUUCUUCUUCUUCUUCUUCUUCUUCUUCUUCUUCUUCUUCUUCUUCUUCUUCUUCUUCUUCUUCUUCUUCUUCUUCUUCUUCUUCUUYUUCUUCUUCUUCUUCUUCUUCUUCUUCUUCUUCUUCUUUCUUCUUCUUCUUCUUCUUCUUCUUACUUACUUACUUACWMCUUAACUUAACUUAACUUAACUAACUUAACUUAACUUAACUUAACUUAAACUUAAACUAAUAAAUAAACUAAACUUAAAAACGUAAAACGUAAAACGUAAACGUAAACGUAAACGUAACGUAANNNNNNNNNNNNNNNNNNNNNNNNNNNNNNNNNNNNNNNNNNNNNNNNNNNNNNNNNNNNNNNNNNNNNNNNNNNNNNNNNNNNNNNNNNNNNNNNNNNNUCCUCCUUCUCCUCCUCCUCCUCCUCCUUCUCCUCCUUCUCCUUCUUCUCUUCUUCUUCUUCUUCUUCUUUCGUUUCAUUUUUCCUAUUUAUUCUCCUCUUGUUGGAGCUAAAUUACCUAAUUAUGUCUUCUUGGAGCUAAAUGGGCUAAUUAUCUCAUUUUAGAGGAAAACAAUCUAAGUUUGGAGGAAAAACUUACCGUAGUGGUCAUCAAGGAGGAGAAACACCACGGUUGCUCGCGAUGGCUUCGUUUGGAGACGGUUGCCCUGGAGAAGGGUCGUGCGGUGCCGCUCGGGAGAUAUUCUGCAGAAAAGAUAUUUUGCAAUGUGUCAGUUAGCAUGAUGACACUCAAUUAUUAAUACUAGUUUAUAAUGAAACUCACCGUGCCAAUCGAAGAGAAGACGGGCAUCGGCGGAGGGACUUGACCGCUCUUCUCGCACAGACCCUGAAGAGUGGGUCGUAUUAGUUAGUAUUGAAACAGACAUUACACACAUGAUUUGGCUAAUGUGAAAAAAACAUACCACAAAAAGCUCGUACAGGGCCCGUUGACCCGCCUCAUUCCGGGCCCUCUCCUCCUCAAGCAAUCGUGUCGUGGUGUGGUCCUUCUCAUCAAGAGCAGCCUGGCUUGCCAAUCUCUCUUUCUCAAGAGCAGUCUGGUUUGCCGCUCUCUCUUUCUGAAGAGCAGCCUGAAACAACAUUCCUCGUUACGACAGUAAUAAUCUAUGGUGACACACAUAAUGAAAUGGAUGAAAGUGUUCAUAGUCCGUACAACUAACCUCGAUGGCAAGUUCGACUGGCCGUGAACGAGGCAUUAACUCAGGACAUCUGCUCGACUGGCGCGCCUUGAUCUCCGGAAGAGUGAGUGGACAACGUAUUAUCCGAUCUCCAAUGGCUAUCGAGCCAUGGGGCCUCCCGCCACCAGAUAUCAUCACGAGCUCUGGAUCCAAAGGUUCCUGGCUAGGGUUAAAGUCAUCCCCUUUCGUAGCCUUCCCCGCGUCCCUGUAUGCCACGAGCUUCUGGUGGGAUGAUAUGUUGGUGAAGUUAUUGGGAUCAUCUAGGUCAGACUGAGAGAAUGCCUUCGCCUUCUUGUACGAGGCAGUAUGGGCCAUGCCAUAAAGGUCGUACAAGUGUGGCAUCUCAGUCUUAUUGUGAUGCGCCUAAAAGAGAGGAACAAAAUAUUAGCAUCAAGAAUGAAUUGCAUGAAUCAUGAAGCAAAUCACAUACCCAAUUUCGUCCAAACUGAAGUAAGUUGGCGCUGCCUUGAUGGUGUGGCACACCAACCAUUUGGCUACGUCGAUCCUUCGCAUUCUCGUGGAUGGCUCGCCAGCUGCCUGUGCACCACUCAUCAACCAACGCCUUCCAACAAUCCGUCUUAUCCGCACACCAUCUCGGGGGCACCUGUAAGUUAUUAGAAAGAAUUUUUAGCGCUACGCCUAUGAAUGAAAUCAAGAAAACUACGUAGAAGGACUUAAGAAUAGGUAAUUACCUUCAUGUAUUGCUCCUUCUUCAGAAACUUUCCGCGGCAAUCCUUCUUCUGCUUCUUAAUACCACGCGUGGCGUAGUAAUCUCGAAUAGCCUGCGGCCGAGCCUCGUGGCGCAAGUUCUGUAGUAACCGCCUACACUCGACCUCGAGAACCCUGGCCGCCUCCUCCUCAUAUCCACCCUCACACCUAUAGAAGGUAUGCAAUCAAACGUGAAAACACCGAUUAGUACAGUAAUUAGCUAUAUUGUUAAUUUUAGAUUCUGUAAAAGGAUAAUUUAUCCAAAAGCUCUUGAUCACCAUCUCGGCCCUCGUGUGGCACAAGACACCAUCUAUAAUCUCCUGCGGUGGGGCCUGCGCAGGCUGGUAGUGCUCUGAGGUAAAUCCUAGUGUAGGAACCUGACCCUCACCAGGCAACGUGACAAACCCCGGGAAAUUUGUCCGGCAAAGCACACCAAGGACGGAGUUCGGCCUACGGACUCCAAGAGGGUGUACCCAUCCCCUGCAGUAUGAUAAAGUCGGUGCAUUAGAUAUUUGAACAAACUUGAAGGCAAAAGCUAAAAAAAGGUAAAUGUAUUUACCUAUCUCCUUCAGGUUUAAUCACCGGCCUCUGCUCGCGGGUAGCCGUGGCGACCGGGAGACGUGUACUACCACGCUUGUACACGGUGGCCCCGCCCACCUGCACAUCGCCCUCACUAUCCGUAAGCUCAUCCCCGCCAUCCCCGCCCCUUGAGCCAUCGGACCCUCGGUCCAAUCCGGCAACUCGGUACGAUCCGGCCAAGGCUCCCAUCCAGGCCUCUCCACGUCGGGUGAAGCCUACGGAACCGUAGUCUCCUCCGGCUGCUCCUGGGCCGAAUGCACCUCGACCCGAGGCUGCUCCUGGACCGGAGUCUCAUGGGACGAAUGCCCGUGAACACUAGGCUCCUGGACCGGAGUCCCCGUAGCCUCCUCCGCAAACGGGUCGACCAUACUAGUCCUAUGCUUGGGUGAAUGAGCUGGUGGUGGUGGCAAGGACGGCUCAACAGUCCUCCUGGAUCUUCCGCGGCCACCACCUCUCCCUGUACCCUUCCCCUUCUUCCCUACCCGACCAGCACCUCUCCCAGUGGGCAAUGCCGCCGACGAAGAAGAACCCACGGCUGGUGCCGAAAGACUGUCUGCCAAGGCUCUACGGAGAGAUAUGGGUGGAAGGGAAGUACCACCCCUCGUGCAGGGCGCCUGGGAAGAACCCGUCGAGCGCUCUGGACCCGCGCCCACCAUCUUUCAACACCUGCCAUGAUAAAGAUUAAAAGAAAUUAGUACAACAUAAGAAAAUUGAAUGACUGACAUGAAUAAUAAUAUGUACAUGAAUAAUAAAGAUUAAAAUAUAUAUAAUUUAAGUUGUGAAUCUUACAAACUAAUAAUCAUCAUCAAUAAAUGCAUCAUCAUCAUCACUAUCACGCAUGUCUUCAUGAAUGACGUGCUCAUCGGGUUCAACGGCGUGAAGUUGUGAAAGGCCUUCCUUUAAUCGUUGAAGCAUUGACAGGUCAUCCGCAUCAGUAACCUCUACGAGUUCCAGGUCUUCUGGUUCCGGCUCAGGGCUGGAGUCGGAUUCAUUGUCGCUGUCUACUUCCAUGUUCUUGGAUGAAGCACGGCGGUUCUUGAAACGUUUCUUGGAAAGACGUGUUUCUUGGAAGAAUUCUCCAUCAUAUGUGUCUGGGUUAAUGUGAGGUUCAUAAUCCUGUUCAUUUGGGAGAGGUGGUCUGACAUGUGGCGGCACUUCAUAAACAACAUACCAACCUUCCAGAUUCUUAUCCGUUUGGCAUGCCCACGGUAGAUAGAAAACUUGGGUCGCCUGUUGAGCCGUAAUAUAGACAUCGGGAACAUCUAAAUGGGUGUUCGGAUUGAUUUCGACUAGUCCUAUAUGUUCACGAGUCCUUCUAGUCUUUUUCGGCUGGAACCAAUAACAUUUGAAGACUACGACGUUCGGUGGGUUUUCACCACAUAACUGAAGUUCAUAAAUUGCUUCAACUCUUCCAUAAUACUCGAUAACACCUUCGCCGAUAGCAGAGACACCACAAUUUGUAGAUUUCUGGUCGGGCAUAGAUAGCUCUUUGCCAAAGGUACGAAAGAGAUACCCGUUGAUGUUGUAUUUCUCAAAUGAACGGACCUUAUAGUCAAAACCAUUAGCGACUUGUCUCAAUUCGGCGUCCAUAGACUCUGAAUUAGCCUACAAGUUUAAUACGAAACGGUUGUUGCAUUAGCCGCAAGUUAGACCAAGAAUGAAAUGGUCCAUUAUUGAUAAUUAUCGUUUGUUUGAACCAGGAGAUGAAACCGAGAUAGCCGCCUCCUGUCUUUGACAGAAGCUCAUACUCUUCGACGGAAUCAUUUUCGAUCACCGCUCCAUCCGAGAAUUUGACGACGUAACGGCUGUUUGAAAUAUCUAGGAAUAAAAGCAGUUCAAAUGAAUUAGAAGUUACGGGAAAAUGUGCUGAGAACUCACUCGAUGUACGGCCACACUUCUGUUAGGUUGUUGAAGAUAUACAACGAAAUGUUCCGCCAUUCUUCGAUAUCCAACGUUAUUGGUUUCGAAGCACCGGCUGGUGCGAGCUUCCCUUUUAAUAGGCUGAGGUUGGACCCACCUUUUUUAGGGUCUCCAUCAUUGUGCCGAGGCUUCGGAUUAUGCAAAUGAUGAUUUUUGGCUUCGUAGUGUGCUGUCACAAAGUUUGCCACCUCCUCAGUAAUGAAUGCCUCAGCCAUCGAUGCUUCAAUUCUACGCUUAUUUUUACAUUUAGCUCGAACGAUCUUGCACGGGCCCACCCAAUCUUGCCUCGGUCGGUAGAUGUAAAAUCAAAUGCUGCGUUGGAUUAAAGAAGCCCGAUGGAAAGAUCUUCUCUAACUUGCACAACAACUCCAGUGCAAACUCCUCCAUGUCUUCUACCAUGCCAGGCGACAAUUCUUUCGCACAAAAACACGGAAGAAAUAGCUCAGCUCCGCCAGUACUAGCCAUUCAUCCUCAGGAUUAAGCCACGUAACAUCACCGGCAUUACCCGCUCUAGCCAUAUGUGCCAAUAAUGACUCUUGAGACCAAAGAUUUUUAAUUUUUCAAUACUUGCUCCCCUCUUUAGAUUCGCUGCAUACCCAUCGGGGAACAUCAAGUGCAUUUUGACCCACAAGAUAAUUUCCCUCAUAGCUGGCCUUCCAAGAUUGAACCAGGCCUUUGGCUUCGACCACUUUUGCUUUCCAUUGCCUUCUCGCAUGUUUUGUAACGGUCUAUGACAUAGUGUCUCUUGAUCGACUCUAGCCUUAAUAUUAUCCUUUGUCUUCCCAUCUAUGUCGAACAAUGUACCAAAAAUAGCCUCUCCGAUAUUCUUUUCAGUGUGCAUCAUGUCGAUAUUGUGUGGAAAAAGGAGGUCUUUGAAGUAAGGCAGAUCCCAGAAGCAUGGCUUGUGAGUCCAAGCGUGUUUUGAAUUAUACCCCUUGAAAUACCCUGGACGCUCUGGAUCAGGCUUGAGGGCGUUUAACUGAUCCAGGAUCUGUUGGCCUGUGAACGCAGGUGGUGCCAAGUUUUUGACAACUUUACCUUUGGUAAAGUUCUUCUUGUCUUUUCUGAACUGAUGGUCAAGAUCCAGGAACUGUCUAUGCAAGUCAAAGCAAGAAUACUUCCGACCCUCCUGCAACCAAUGAAACUGAAGAGCUGCCUUGCAUUGGGGGCACGGGAACCUUCCAUGCACACACCAUCCAGAGAAUAGCGCAUACGCUGGCAAGUCAUGCAUAGAGUACAUGUACCACACAUGCAUUUUGAAGUUUUCUUUUCUAGCGGCAUCGUAUGUCUUGACCCCAUUUUCCCAAGCUUCUUCCAAUUCAUCCUUAAGCAGUUGCAGGUACACAUUCAUAUUCUUCCCCGGAUAAUUGGGCCCUGGAAUUAUCAACGUCAGAAAUAUGUUCUUUCUUUGCAUAAUCUGCCCGGGGGGAGAUUGAGUGGAAUGACAAAUACAGGCCAACAACUAUAUUGGGUUGCCGUCAUGCCGAAGGGAUUAAAACCAUCCGUGGCGGCGCAGACUCGAGGAUUCCUUGGAUCUGCCGCUUUAUCCUGAUGCAACCCAUCGAAAUGUUUCCACGCUUCCCCAUCCGAUGUGUGUACCAUCAUCUUAUUCCCAUUCGCAUCUAGUUCGGUUCUUUUGCCCAAUUUGUGUCAUGUCAUCUGUCUGGCUGUCUCUUCGACCAUGAAAAGACGUUGAAGUCUUGGUACGAUUGGCAUAUACCGAAGAACACUAACUACGAUUUUGGUCUGCCUCUUCUCACCCAUACCGUUGUCUACCACAAGAUACCUGCAAGACUCGCAAUUGGGACAAUAGUCCAAGUGUGCAUACUCCUUCCUAAAUAAGACACAUCCUUUCUCACAUGCAUCUAUCUUCUCAUAGGGCAUCUUAAGUACACGAAGUAUUUUGUCCGACUGGUACAGGUUUGCAGGCAUGACAUGGCCUUUGGGUAGGAAACGUCCAAAUAGUGUCAUCAUCGCGUCGUAGCAUUCUCUUCCCAAGUUGAACUGAGCCUUCAGAGCCAUCACUUGUGCAAUUGCAUCCAGUUGACAGAGCUCGGUGUGCUCAUGGAGAGGAUGUUUUGAAGACUCCAACAUUUCAUAAAAGGCCUUUGCAGAUUCCUCCAUCUCAUCUUCCGAAUCCCGAGCAUCAUCAAAGUCUUGCACCAUGUCUUCGAUCCCGGUACCAUGCUCGUCCGCGCGACGACGGACCACCUCACCUCUUGUGCGUUGUAUAGACUCACCAUGAAAUGUCCACACCGUAUAAUUAGGCUUAAAACCCCUCCUCUGCAGGUGUUUAAUCAUUACAGCCUCUGUCGUCUUUUUAUAGUUGUCGCAUCCAGGACAGGGCAAUAGUUUCUUUCCUGGCCAUUUGCGAAUGCGGCUUUCACAAAUUCCUUUGUUUUUAAAAACCAUUCUUUCGUCAUCUCUUUCUGAAUAGGGUGACCGGUAUACAUCCACGCACGAUCACUCAUCUUGCGUAGCUACUAAAGACAGAAGAAAUAUAUUUUUAUAUAAUUUAGCAUUUAUAUUCAUCGGUUAAUCAGGUUCGCCAUUUUUAUUACGUCCAGGCAACCUACACGCUAAUAGGUAUAGAUAGGUCCUAAUCCCACCCGAGUAUGUGUAGAUUGGGUUCGUUUUCCCAUGCUCUGCUCCGGAUCCAACGCAAAAUUUCGGCAGCACCUCCCAGUUGUUCUCCUGAUACACGUCUCCGCAAUAAACAGAGAGGAUGUGCAUCCGAAGAACAACAGGGAGGCACUGACGAAAUUCCGCAUCGGAUCCAGAGCACAACAUACGGGAAAAGGAACCCAAUCUACACAUACUCGGGCUGUCCAUGGAUACUGUUGGACAAUUCGAAAGGAUGGCGAUUAUAAAUAUGCAAAGACAUGCAUAUUUAUAGAUGUCGCCCUUUCGAACGGGAGACGCAUACUGGUCACGCAUACUGAUAAAUUAAUUGAAUUACCUAAAUCUAGAAAGUUUCAUCUGGAAACCGAGCCACAGUAAAUGAAGGGGCGGGGAGGAGAUGAAAUUUGUACUAACCCACGAAUGCAGGGGCGGAGCUCGUACAACGCACGGGCAGGUCUUCGCACAACAGACCUCACAGCGACGAGACAACUAUCAGAUGUAAAUCCACCCGAUCAACACAAAUAUUCCAAUUAUGUCAUUUUAGAGGAAAACAAGCUAAGUAUAUAAUAUUCGUGAGCUAACCAAGGUUCUUAUGCCAUUUUGAGGUUAUUAUGGCAUUUUGGAGCUAAAUGGGCUAAUUAUGUCAUUGUUGCGGAAAUUAAAGCAAGGAUAAUAUGAAAGAGGAGAAGAAAGAGGAGGAGGAGGAGAAGAAGAAGAAAUCAAGAAGAAGGAGGAGGAGGAGGAGGAGGAGGAGAAGGCCAAGGACCUUCUAUCCUUCUCCUCAUCCUCCACCUUCUUCUUGAUUUCUUCUUCUUCUCCUCCUCCUCCUCUUUCUUCUCCUCUUUCAUAUUAUUCUUGCUUUAAUUAACCCAACAAUGACAUAAUUAGCCCAUUUAGCUCCAAAAUACCAUAAUAAGCUCAAAAUGGCAUAAGAACCUUGGUUAGCUCAUUAAUAUUAUAUACUUAGCUUGUUUUCCUCUAAAAUGGGAUAAUUAGCCCAUUUAGCUCAAAAAAGACAUAAUUAGGUAAUUUAGCUCCAACAAGAGGAGAAGAGGAGAAGAAAUAGGCAAAAUGAAAAGAAAGAAAGAAGAAGAAGAAGAAGAGAAGAAGGAGAAGGAGGAGGAGGAGGAGGAGAAGGCCAAGGACCUUCUAGUCCUUCUCCUCCUCCUCCUCCUCCUUCUCCUCCUUCUUGUUGAUUUCUUCUUCUCCUCCUCCUCCUCUUUCUUCUCCUCUUUCAUAUUAUCCUUGCUUUAAGUUCCCCAACAAUGACAUAAUUAACCCAUUUAGCUCCAAAAUGCCAUAAUAAGCUAAAAAUGGCAUAAGAACCUUGGUUAGCUCAUGAAUAUUAUAUUCUUAGCUUGUUUUCCGCUAAAAAUGACAUAAUUAGCUCAAAACAUCAUAUUUUGUUCUUCUUAUGACUUUCUUAUUCACAUUUUUGCAGAUUGGAUAUACAACAUGCAUGGAAGCUGGCAUUCAUGGAGUUGAACAAUGUCGAUGGAUGAACUUUAUAUGUAUAUCAUCUAGUUUUCAUUUGAGUUGAUGAACAAUGUCGAACUAUAUGUAUAUGUAUAUAUGGAUAAAUAGUGCAAUACUUUGGAUGUUGGUUCUUUCGAUAUAUGGGUAUGUACAUUGAUUUAUAUGUAUAUCAUAUAUGUGUGGUGAACUAUAUAUAUAUGUGUUGGCAAGUAUAUGUGUGGUGAACUAUAUAUCAUAUAUGUGUGGUGAAUUAUAUAAACUAGUCGUCAACCCGUGCAUCUGCACNGGGUGGUCGGGCGACAGUGGUGGCGGCGUUGGGCGUCGGGGGAGGAGAGAGAGGGGGAGGGGCCGUUUGAGAGAGAGAGAGAGGGCCGUGGUGGGGCGAGACAUCCGUUACUAGAUUCAAGACCUUUGUCGUCUGCUGGCGGACGACAAAGGGGUCUAUACUCUUUGCUGUCUGCCUGUGGCAUCUUUGCCGUCAGCCAGCAGACGACAAAGAAGGGAGUAGUUUGACCUAAGGUUCCCCCGACCAGAUGAGCUUCUUUGCCGUCUGCUGGCCCCUUCUUUGCCGUCUGCGGCAGACGGCAAAGAGUUGACUGCUGGCAACGAUCUUCUUUGCCAUCAGCCAUUUCUUUGCCGUCAGUUUUGCUGAAGCUGAUGGCAAAGAGUGUCUUUGCCGUCAGCUAGGAGACGACAAAGACUAGGCAGACGACAAAAUCUCUGAUUCCAGUAGUGUACUACUAGGCUAUGCUUAAUGCUUGUCACUAGGGCCCGAGUGCCAUGAUUUCAGAUCUGAACCUAUUAUGUUGUCGCCAAUAUAUGUGUGUUUUAGAUCCUAUCUUGCAAGUUGUAGUCACCUACUAUGUGUUAUGACCCGGCAACCCCGGAGUGACAAUAGCCGGAACCACUCCCGGAGAUGAGCAUAGUAUGAGGAGUUCAUGUAUUCACCACGUGUUAAUGCAUUGGUCCGGUUCUUUAUUAAAAGGAGAACCUUAAUAUCCUAUAGUUUCCAUUAGGACCCCGCUGCCACGGGAGGGAUGGACAAUAGAUAUCAUGCAAGUUCUUUUCCCUAAGCAUGUAUGACUACAUACGGAAUACAUGCCUACAUUAGAUUGACGAACGGGAGCUAGUUACAUAUCUCUCCGUGUUAUAGCUGUUACAUGAUGAAUCACAUCCAGCACACUCAUCCAUCACUGAUCCACUGCCUACGAUUAUUUUACUACUGGUCCUUGCUAUGUUACUUUGCUGCUACUGCUGUCGCUACUGCUGUUACUCUGCUGUUACUACUACUGCUGCUACUGUUGUCACUACUGCUGUUACUUUGCUGUUACUUGUUGCAAGACUUUUCUGGAGCCGUUGCCAGGAAAGAAUAUUCCCCCGUCCACGUACUAGUUACUAGCGCCAUUGAUACAACAGUUAGGAAUAGUCUGCCGUCAACAGAUCUUUUUCUGACACCGUUGCUAUCAUACUACUAUGCUACUGAUACUUUGCUUGCAGACACUAAUCUUUCAGGUGUGGUUGAAACUGACAAACUCAGCUGCUAAUACUUGAGAAUAUUCUUUUGCUUCCCUUUGUGUCGAAUCAAUAAAUUUGGGUUGCAUACUCUACCCUCAAAAGCUGUUGCGAUCCCCUACACUUGUGGGUUAUCAAAACAAUUUACUGGCGCCGUUGCCGGGGAAGCACAACUAUAUUCUCUGAGUCACUUGGGAUUGAUGUCUGCUAAUCACUAUGAGGAAUCCGAAAGAUCCAAGAACUAAAAUCUUUCCUUCCCCUACGAGGAGAGGUAAGGAAUUGCCAUCUAGCUCUGCACUUGAUUCACUUUCAGUUUUGAGUAAGUUUGCGACUUCACCUCCUGCUAGAAAUCUUGAUAUGUUGCCUGUGCUUGAUGAUGCUACUUCUGCUGCUUAUGAUGCUAUGCUAGAUAUUAUGCGUGAUGAUGCUAUGCUAGAUACUAUGCCUGAUGAUGCUAUGCUUGAUACUAUGCCUGCUAUGUCUGAUACUGCUUUGCCACUUGAUGCAUUCCUUGAUGCACAACUUGCUAGAGCUGCUGCUAGAUGUGAUGAUACUUCUGAAACUGCUGAUACUGUUGAAGUAGAACGUGCUACUAUGCCUGAAUUGCCUGUUUUGCCUGAUAUGCGCUAUGUUAUGGAGGGAGAGAUAGCUGAGGACUUUCUUGCGUGUAAGGAUAGCUAUGAUGUUGAGAAACUUCUGCGCAAGUGGAAAGAAAAAUCUCUGAACGCUAGGAUGAAAUACCACCCGAAGUUUGCUACUUCGCCUAUCUUUGUGAUCGAUAAGGAUUAUGAAUUCUCUGUCGACCCUGAGUUAAUCACUCUGGUCGAAUCUGAUCCCUUUCACGGUUAUGAGUCUGAAACGGUUGUAGCCCAUCUUACCAAAUUGCACGAUAUAGCCACCCUAUUCACUAGUGAGGAAAAGAUCCGCCACUACUAUAUGCUCAAGCUGUUUCCUUUCUCGUUAAAGGAUGAUGCUAAGACCUGGUUCACUUCUCUUGCUCCUGGUUGUGUGCAUAGCCCCCAGGAUAUGGUCUACUACUUCUCUGAAAAAUAUUUCCCUGCCCAUAAGAAGCAAGCUGCCUUGCAGGAAAUAUACAACUUUGCUCAAGCUGAAGAAGAGAGUCUCCCACAAGCUUGGGCGAGGCUCAUCCAGCUACUGAAUGCUUUGCCUGAUCACCCUCUUGAGAAGAAUGAAAUACUUGAUAUAUUCUAUAAUGGACUUACCGAUGCUUCUAAAGACCACCUAGAUAGUUGUGCCGGUAGUGUUUUUAGGGAACGAACCGUAGAACAAGCUGAGAUUCUACCGAACAACAUCUUGUGCAAUGAGAAUGCUUGGACUAUUCCCGAACCACCUCCUAAGCCAACUCCAAAGAGAAGAGGUAUUCUAUUCCUCAGUCCUGAAGAUAUGCAAGAAGCCAAGAAAUCUAUGUGAGAGAAAGGCAUUAAAUAUGAAGAUGUCAAAAAUCUACCACCUAUCGAAGAGAUCCAUGGUUUCGAUAACCCGAUACAGGUAGUAGAAGUAAAUUCUCUGCGUAGGUUUGAUGAGAGUGAUAUUCCUAUUGAUAAACCUGCUAGCUUAUGCAUGGAUGAAUUUGAUAACUUCGUUGCCAAACAACAAAGUUUCAAUGAUUAUGUUAGCAGACAAUUGGAAAAGAAUGCUCGUAUGCUUAGUCAUUUAAGUGCUUGUGUAGAUAGAAAUGUCAAUGAUCCAAAACUUCUGAGUAAGCAUGCCUCUAUGGUUACUACUCAGGUAGAACAAGUACUUAAAGCUCAAAAUGACUUUCUCAAUGAGUUGAAUGACAAUUCCGUCAGAGUCGUUACUAGAGGCGGUAGAAUGACCCAGGAACCUCUGUAUCCUGAGGGUCAUCCGAAGAGAGUUGAACAAGAUUCUCAAGGAGUUAGCACUGAUGCACCUGGUCAUCCUAGAAAGAAGAAGAAAGAUGAUAGGAACCUGCACGCUAGCAACCCUGUUGCUGCUACACCUGAGAGUCCAAACGAUGCCUCUAUCUCUGAUGCUGAAACACAAUCUGGUGAUGAACAUGAGCCUAAUGAUAAUAUCAAUAGUGAUGUUCAUGAAGAUGCUCAACCUAGCAAUGAAAAGGAUGUGGAGAUUGAACCUAGUGUUGAUCUUGAUAACCCACAGCUUGAGACUAGAAGAUACGAUAAGAAUGACUUCACUGCUAGGAAGCACGGUAAAGAAAGGGAACCAUGGGUUCAGAAACCUAUGCCCUUUCCUCCCAAACCAUCCAAGAAAAAGGAUGAUGAGGAUUUUGAGCACUUCGUUGAGAUGAUCAGACCUGUCUUUCUACAGAUGCGUUUGACAGAUAUGCUCAAGGUGUCUCCGUAUGCUAAGUACAUGAAAGAUAUUGUGGCUAAUAAUAGGAGGAUACGCGAGGUUGAGAUUUCUGCCAUGCUUUCCAAUUACACUUUCAAGGGUGGAACUCCGAAGAAACUAGGUGAUCCCGGUGUGCCCACUAUACCUUGCUCCAUUAAAGGCAACUAUGUUAAAACUACGUUAUGCGACCUUGAAGCCGGUGUUAGUGUUAUGCCUCUCUCCCUUUAUCAUAUACUUGAACUGGAUAAGUUGACACCCUCUGAAAUCUCUCUGCAAAUGGCCGACAAAUCAACUGCUUUCCCUAUCGGCAUUUGCGAGGAUGUGCCUGUUGUGGUUGCUAACACCACUAUCUUAACAGACUUUGUUAUCUUGGAUAUUCCUGAGGACGAUGCCAUGGCUGUCAUCCUCGGAAGAUCCUUUUUAAACACUACAGGGGCUGUUAUAGAUUGCAACAAAGGCAAUGUCACUUUCCAUGUCAAUGGUAAUGAGCAUACGGUGCACUUUCCGAAGAAACAAUAUCGAGUACAUUGCAUCAAUGCUAUCGAAAAAACUUCAUCGAUUCUUAUUGGGAGCUUUGAAUGCCCUAUUCCUCGUGUCGAGAUGAAGUAUGAUUUUCUUGUUGGGGAGAUACAUAUCCCCAUUGAGGUGACCUAGUGACUAUUCAAAAAUUCUUCGUUCUCUUUUGCGAUUCGAGAAAGUUUUGUCGAGAGGAUUUGAUCAACCCCAUUGACGGAUUUCUUUCGAAGACCAUGAGAUGGAUGAAUCGAGGAGUCACAAACCUCUGUUCCAAAUUUUCACCUUAGGUUGCUUAGAAGAAAAAUGAUAGGUUUAGUUUAGUUUUCCCUAUUUUCUGUUUUAGCGUCCGGUAGAAAAAAUACCCCGAAAAUAAAAGUUCUCCGAACGUUGUGAAAAUCUAGUAUGAUUUUUUCUGGAAUAUUUGAAAAAUACUGGGAUAAAGAGUCUGUCUGGGGGCCACAAGCCCUAGGGGCACGGGCACCCCCCUGGCCGCGCCACCCAGGCUUGUGGGGCCCACAGGCAUCCCUCCACUCAUUCUUGCUCCCAUCUCCUUCUCCUACCUCCAGAAAAAAAUCGUUUUCCAGCUCAAACCCGUGUUCUUGCCUCUCUUGCUGGGAUUUUCGAUCUCUUUGCUCAAAUCAGCGUUCUCCAAACUGUUUUGGGGAAAUUACUCCUUGGUAAGUGACUCCUCCAUUGGUCCAAUUAGUUUUUGCUCUAGUGCCUUAUACUCCGCGUAUUUUUGCUGCCUUGGUGACCAUGUUCUUGAGAUUUGUAUGCUGAUUCUAGAUGGUCCCAAGUAGUUUUGAUGCAUAAUAUAGUCUCUAGGCACUUGUGGGAGUAGUUGCUACAAGUUUAGUUGAACCUUGUUCACCUUUCCUUUGGGUCACUGAAAAUUUCAGAAAAGGAAGAUGUUCAAGAGAAACUAUCAUGGUGGUUCCUCAAUCAAGAGAGGUCCCCGUCUUGCGAUUCGGGAGCCUCAUCCUUACCAACCUAGGGACGCGCAUGUACAACCAUGUGAAUGGACUUCUGAUGAAUUUAUGAUUGAGGCAGGUUUCAAAGAUGAGUCGGACUCGAAGAAUUCAUCUCCGAUAAACGUGAACAAUAUGUUGCUCUCACUGCUUCUUUUGUUCGUAGAUUCAAAUUUUCAGCUGGCCAUGAGCCAUCGGUACUAUUUGAUCUCUAUGAUAAAUCGUAUACCAUAGAUUUAGAGGAUUUCGGUAGAAUUGCAAAAUACCUAUUUGGGGUAACCUCAAUGAUCCUCCUAAAUCUUCGGUUAGAGAUUUUUGCGCUGGUAUUACGGUUGGAGAAACUAGAGACAUUACGCAAGCUACCAUGGGGAGUAUUCAUUUUCCUGCCUUGCAUUAUUUUGCCCUCUUCAUAGGCAGAUGCAUUAAUGGCAAGAUUGAGCAUUGUCACCUCUCUACACCCGACCUUAGUAUCCUUAAGAGCGCAGUGACAGGUGACAAAAGCUUCAACAUGGGAGCUAUUAUAGCAAGGAGGCUGAAUAAGAAUGCUAUUGAUGGGGAUUUCUUUGGUGGGAUCUAUGCCACUCGCAUAGCAAAUUUUCUUGGAGUACCCAUCCGCACAGGAGAUCCCCCGCUCCAUACAGCUUUCCUUGACCGCGUCACUAUGACACGCUACCAGUUCCUUGAGAGGGAUGAUGAAUCCCUCCUAUACCGAUUGAUAUUUAACCGGCAGCGUGUUUUCCAUAUUACCCUUGCUGCUCCUUCUUUCUUUGACUUUCAGGUAAAACAGAGAUAUUACAUAACCAGAGGAGUAUGAGAGGGAGGCGACGACUGCUCGUCUCCGUGAGGCAGCUAUUCAGGCAGUGGCUGCAGCGCUCCCGUAUAACCUCUAUUAUGAUUUUGGGUUUCGCCAGGACCGUCCUUGGGAGUAGACCAAGUUAGGCCAAAAGCCUAAGCUUGGGGGAGUACGUGUUCUCACCGACUUUACAUUCUUGCUUAUGCUUUCACUUUGUUAGCCGGUGUUCACACUUUGCCACUGUAUUAUCCACGCUAGUUUAUUUUCUUUUUCUCGUUUUCUUUUCGUGUGUCUAUCUAGUUUGAGAAAACCCAAAAAGAUUUUCUUUUUCUUCUUUUGCUUGUUGGGGGCUUUCCCAUGUAGAUAGUUUUCUUUUUCUUUGGGUCAAGGUAGAAGAUAUUGGUUACAAUGUUUAGUUGCGCUUGCAUGCAUACCUGUUCAGCUUUCAAAGAGCCAUAUUACUUUGUCUUCUCCUUUGUGUUUGCCUGCAGAUUCCAGCGUAGUCCAAUGCACGAGCACGCUUAUUAUUGUUCACAUCGUUCGGUCGUGCAAGUGAAAGGCAAUAAUGACGAUAUAUGAUGAAGUGAGUGAGCGUGGAAAAGCUGGUAUGAACUCGAUCUAUUUUGUUUUUGUAAAUAUGACUAGCUCAUCAUGCCUGAUUCAGCUUUGUUGUGAGAGAAACAUGUUUGCAAUGACAACUUAGAGAUCAUAGUUGCUUAUGCCAUGCUUACUUAGCUAGGAGCUUAUAAUGGUUUGUCUUGGAUGCCCACAUGAAUGUUGAGAUGACUAUGAUGUACUAUGAUAGGAUGGUAUCCUCCUUUGAAUGUUUCAAGUGGCUUGACUUGGCGCAUGUUCACGCAUGUAGUUGAAACAAAAUCAACACAGCCUCUAUGAUGUUCAUGUUCAUGGUGAUUUAUGUCCUACUCAUGCUUGCACUCAAUGUUAGUUAAUCUCAAUGCAUUUUGAUGACUGUUGUCGCUCUCUAGUUGGUCGCUUCCCAGUCUUUUGCUAGCCUUCACUUGUACUAAGCGGGAAUACUGCUUGUGCGUCCACCUCCAUAAACCCAAAGUUGUUCCAUGUGAGUCCACCAUACCUACCUAUGUGCGGUAUCUACCUGCCGUUCCAAGUAAAUUUGCAUGUGCCACUCUCUAAACCUUCAAGAAAUAAUCUAUUUUGCAUGCUCGAACCGCUCAUGUGGUGACAGGGGGCUAUUGGUAUCUUCCAUGCUAGGCGUGUUAUCCUCGACAUGUGUUUAUUCACUAUCAUUAACGAGAAAGGGGCCGGUAAUUAGAAUUCCCAGUUCCAUGCUCAAAUCGAAAAGAUAAUUGCAAACAAAACUCCCCUAGGAUUGAUGUUGGCAUGGACGGUACCGGAGGAUUCGGCUAGCCGUGGAGUGUGAUUGAUUGGUGGUGGGGGAGUCAAAACUUUACUUUUCUGUUUGGGAACCGCCUAUAGCAUGUGUAGCGUGGAAGAUGUUGAGAACUCUUAGUCAUUGCGUUGACAAUGAAAGCAAGCCACCCAAAAUUAUUAUCUCUGUUUUAAAAGCUUGAGCUCUGGCACCUCUGCAAAUCAAUGCUUCCCUCUGCGAAGGGCCUGUCUAUUUAUGUUCCCAUUGAGUCAUCCUCCUCUUAUAAAAAGCACCAAUUAGAGAGCACCUCUGUCAUUUUUAUGCUUUGCUUUUAACUGUGUUGAGUAUGACUAUGACUGGAUCUUCAUUGCCUUGAAUUACAAUUUUUAGUCUGCCCUUAGUCUUUUAAGGUGCUCUGCAUUUAUGUUUUGCGGUCUCAGAAAGAGCUAGCGAGAUACCAUCUAUUCGUACUGCUUCAUGUUGUUUUGAUUGAAGUGUUGACAUUUGAGGCUUGUUAUUAUUUGCUCGCUAGCUGAUUAUGCCAUUGAUAUGAGUUUGCUGUGAGACCUAGAUGUCAUUUGCUUAUGUGGUUUGCUUGUGAUGUUGCUCAAAUUCUGGUUGUGAGUUAGACAUAGUUGCAACAACAAGAUCAAACAGAGUUCGUCAAAGUUUUUCUUUUGUCUCUCUCAGUUUGUCAACUGGGUUGCUUGAGGACAAGCAAGGCUUUAAGCUUGGGGGAGUUGAUACGUCUCCAUCCUAUCUACUUUUUCGAACACUUUUGCCCUUGUUUUGGACUCUAAUUUGCAUGAUUUGAAUGGAACUAACCCGAACUGACGCUGUUUUCAGCAGAAUUGCCAUGGUGUUGUUUUUCUGCAGAAAUGGAAGUUCUCGAAAUGUGCUGAAAAUUUACAGAGGUUUUUUCUGGAAUAAAAGAAAAAUACCUGCGCAAAGAUCCACCGAAGGUGGCGUGCUAAUGGGCCACAAGCCCACAGGCCCCGGCCACCCCCCCAUGRCCGCGCCGUGAGGGCUUGUGGGGCCCACGUGGCACCACCGCCCCCCAAUCUCAGCUCUAUAUCUUCCGUUUCGCCUGAAAAAAAUCAGAGAGAAGGUUUCAUCACGUUUUGCGAUACGGAGGCGCCGCCACAUCAUGUUCUUUAUCUGGAGGGCAGAUCUAGAGUCCGUUUCGGGCUCCGGAGAGGGGAAAUCGUCGCCAUCGUCAUCAUCAACCUUUCUCCAUCGACAAUUCCAUGAUGCUCUUCAUCGUUCGUGAGUAAUCUCAUCGUAGGCUUGCUGGACGGUGAUGAGUUGGAUGAGAUCUAUCAUGUAAUCGAGUUAGUUCUUGACGGGAAUUGAUCCCUAGUAUCCACUAUGUUCUAGAUUGAUGUUGCUACUGCUUGGCUAUGCUUAAUGCUUGUCACUAGGGCCCGAGUGCCAUGAUUUCAGAUCUGAACCUAUUAUGUUGUCGCCAAUAUAUGUGUGUUUUAGAUCCUAUCUUGCAAGUUGUAGUCACCUACUAUGUGUUAUGACCCGGCAACCCCGGAGUGACAAUAGCCGGAACCACUCCCGCAGAUGACCAUAGUAUGAGGAGUUCAUGUAUUCACCACGUGUUAAUGCGUUGGUCCGGUUCUUUAUUAAAAGGAGAACCUUAAUAUCCCGUAGUUUCCAUUAGGACCCCACUGCCACGGGAGGGAUGGACAAUAGAUGUCAUGCAAGUUCUUUUCCCUAAGCACGUAUGACUACAUACAGAAUACAUGCCUACAUUAGAUUGACGAACGGGAGCUGGUUACAUAUCUCUUCGUGUUAUAGCUGUUACAUGAUGAAUCACAUCCGGCACACUCAUCCAUCACCGAUCCACUGCCUACGAUUCUUUUACUACUGGUCCUUGCUAUGUUACUUUGCUGCUAAUGCUGUCGCUACUGUUGUUACUCUGUUGUUACUACUGCUGCUGCUACUGCUGUCACUAUUGCUGUUCCUUGCUACUAUUCUCACUACUGCUGUUACUUUGUUGUUACUUGUUGCAAGACUUUUCUGGAGCCGUUGCCGGGGAAGAAUAGUUCCCCGUCCACGUGCUAGUUACUAGCGCCAUUGAUACAACAGUUAGGAAUAGUCUGCCAUCAACAGAUCUUUUUCUGACACCGUUGCUAUCAUACUACUUUGCUACUGAUACUUUGCUUGCACACACUUAUCUUUCAGGUGUGGCUGAAACUGACAAACUCAGCUGCUAAUACUUGAGAAUAUUCUUUUGCUUCCCUUUGUGUCGGAUCAGUAAAUUUGGGUUGAAUACUCUACCCUCGAAAACUGUUGCGUUCCCCUACACUUGUGGGUUAUCACCCCACAAAGAACUCUCAUGAAGACCAUGGGUUAGUACACAAAGCGUAAUGGACAAUGUUUAUCAUACAAUGGGAUCACUUGAUCCCUCUCGGUACAUCUUGUAUGCUUUUUGUGUUGAUCAACUUGAUUCACUCUUUGACUUAAUCUUCAUCAACCUUGUGUCUCUAUGACCAAUCUUUGGAUAAAAUCUUGAAUACCACCUUCAUCAUCAUAUAAACUCCUUGAAAUCAACAGAUGGAGAGAAGUGCCUGUAGACAAAUCCUUUGAAUAUAACUCAAGGUAACCAUUAGUCCAUAUGGAUUGUCAUUAGUUAGAAGAACACAUAUGGUUGUUGGACUCUUGUGUGCGAGCCCCCCCCCCCCUCCUCCACCCCCGAUUUGCGGGAAAAGGGACAUUCAGGCGGGCCCGCGAACGGAUACAUGCCCACAUUGAAUGAGAAAAUACGUUGGAACGACACAGUUCGAAUCGUUGCCACGUUCUAAUGGCCCGUAUUGUAGAUGCCACAUAAACAGUUGUUUGCCCAAAGCGCCGUGCGGACACAUGUGUUUGUACCAACCCUCCUUUCCUGUAUAGAUGUUUGUCCAUGUGAACAGACAUACAGUACUAUAUUUGCAUGUGUCUGUACCAAACCUCCUUUCCUGUAUAUUUCCUCCGUUCCUAAAUAUUUGUCUUUCUAAAGAUUUCACUACGGGCUACAUAAGGAUGUAUAUAGACAUAAUUUAAAAUGUAAGUUCAUUCAUUUUACUUCGUAUGUAGUCCAUAUAGUUGAAUCUUUAAAAAGACAAAUAUUUAAGAAUGGAGGGAGUAGAUGUCUGUCCAUGUGGGCAGACAUACUGUAUUUCCACAGGAAACUGACUUUGCCAACAGUUGUUUUCCUAGUAACACUAUCUCCAACAGGCAGUUAACCCUGCAUAAAUACCCAGUUUUAUGACAUAGUCUAGUUCACUUCAUUCGAUUUACUUACACUUACGAAGUUACCGCAGUGGUAACUACCCCACUACUGGUCAACAAUGCUGCAAGGCAAGAUGACCAUCAGAGACUCUUGAGUAUAAUUUGCGCUCCAUGUUGAGGAUGUAGUGUGAUGACUGUGUACGGCGCAUGCGUGUACGAAGGCGAGAGCUGGAACUCGAAACGCUGAAGGAUCAUGCUCAGCGCCAUCUUAGCUUCCAGCAUCGCGAAGUUCUGGCCGAUGCAAAUCCUCGGUCCCCAACCGAAUGGGAAGAAGACCGGCUGGUCCUUGGUUGCCUUGGAGAUCCCCUCCGCAAACCUCUCCGGCUUGAACUCCAAUACGUCUUCCCCCCAUACAUCUGGGUUGUGGUGAACCAAGAUUAUUGGCAGCUCCAGCAUUACACCCGCAGGGUAGGUGAUGCCUCCAAUCUGCAUCUGUCUGGAUGUCUUCCGGUUCAGCGUGACCGCCGGUGGGUACAACCUAAGCACCUCGUACAGUAUCAUCGUCACCUGGACAAGGAAAUUGGAGAUAAAGCAUUGUCAGCAAUUAGUUCUCCAUGGUAUUUAGGCACAACUUAAAGUACAGCACGUGAUGCAACGUCGGCAAUAACGUUAGAGACACUUGCCGUUUUGAGUCGACCCAGGCCGUCGAAGUUAGGUUUGUCCUUGCCGAAUACGCUGAGGACUUCUUCCCUGGCCCGAUCCUGCCACUCGGGGUGCAUUCCCAGGACGACCAGCGUCCACGUGAGCAACACGGACGUGGUCUCCAUCCCCGCGAAGUAGAAGAGCUUGCACUCCUCGAUCACAUCCUCGGUACUCAUCCUCAUCCUUGACGGCCCACUCUCCUUGUUCGACUGCAGCAUCAAGCCUAGCAAGUCGUUGCCGCUAAGCCCAUCCAUCUCCAUCGCGCGCUCCCGCUUCUCGAUGAUGCCUCUCAGGAGCCCUUCGAUCUCUUGGUUGAUCUGCUUCAUCCUCUUGUUGUUUUCAGUUGGAAAAAACCUGAAAAUUAAAAGACUAGCCGCAUCAUUCAUGCUUACAAGGAAAUUUUUUUACUGUAUACUCCCUACUUCAGAAAGAAAAGGACUAUGUCAACAGUAAUUGGUAGUGGUACAGGAAGAGUGCUUACAGGUAGCCUGGGAUGUACAUAUACUGGAAGGCCUUGAUAAUUCGCUCUGCUUGCUCUGCCUGAAGCUGGAAGAUCCUUCGCCCUUCCAUGAAGCUGCUGCCGAACGACGUGCGGGAGAUGACGUCUCCGGUGAGGUUCUGGAAAUCCUGCCAUAUGUCUACUUCAUGCGAUCCAUCAGAACCCGCUAGUUUGCUUUCCCAGCUGCUUAUCAACUCGGUGCAGCAUGUCGAAAAAGCCGGCAACAUGCUCUGUAAACAGCUUCAGUUAGCGCGCGCGCAGGAACACCCUGAUCGGGUUAGGAGCUACUCCUACUCAGUAAGGAAGAAUAGUAAGUACUACCUUGAGCUUUUCGAGAUGGAAAGCGGGGUUCAAGAUCCUCCUGUGCAUCGCCCAUUUCUCACCGUCGUAGCUGGCAAGCCCAAGGGCUAUCAGUUUUCCCAGACGUUUGUUCGUGAAUUUUUCGAAAUGGCCGGACUUGUCUAACAGGAUCUCUCGCACUAGCUUUGGCUCCGCGAUGACCACCCUUAGGGUUGGUCCGAACCAGGUGAUGCAAACGUUACCUACAUGCAGUUCAAAAUUGAUUGACGUCAGAAUUUUUUGGCCAACAUGUUUUCUCUUUGUUGUUGUUGCGAAAAUUGGAGAUAAGAAUGAAGUAGAGACAGCAAUAAUGUCUUGUUUCAAGUGCUACCCUUUUAGGGAUCAAGUCAUCGGAAGAAAAAUGGGUCACUAUAAGUUUGCCCGUAAAAGAACAUAUAGCAAUACUAACAUAGAUAUUUUAGUACACUGUAACAUCAAUUUUCAUGCCUGGAAAACUGGACAAAAAGACAUAUUCGGCAAGAGAGAAAUUCAACUAGAGGAACAACAAAAUUACCCUACCCGUGUUCCUUGAUGGUGUUGAGGAGGUGCGGCGCCACACGGGGCACAAUGUCGUGGCACGGCGGCAUGGGCUUGGACCGAGCCUCCUCGUUGAGCCGUCCGUUCUCUGCGAGGUCCCCGGCGGGAAAUCGGUACGCCGUGCCGCCGAGGCCCUGCGCCCGGAGCGCCCGGCUGAGCCGCCGUGGCCUCAGCCAGCAUGUCUCAGCGGCCCGGGAGACCGCCCACAGCAAGACGAGCAGCGAAGCGAGGCCGCAGAGCAAGCUCAACGGUGAAGGAGAAGACACA
rnacentral:lncRNA from 1 species